AGCAGCAGGGGUUCCAUCAUCCGUGGCAUCAUCGGAUGUUCCAGCGAUGAUUUCGGUAGGGCAAGCAAGAACGCUCAAUGGAAACGAACAGAGAGUGCCCGCUACUGUUUGGAGCUUUUUAAAGGAUGGUCAGGAACGAUAACCCAAAGAAAGCUUGCUCGUCAGGUGGUUUAUAUGGCACCACGCCAGAGCGGUCGGCGGGUUGUCCAGGGCGGUGCCUUGUGCCGCUGCUCGUCGGGGAAGCUCGACAUGGACUUGACGUCUCCUUAGACCAUACUCCAUUUCCACACAAUCCGCGCAGCAGAACUGUGAACCGAGGCAUGUGGGCGUGCGGGUGUGGCUGCCACUUUUACUCAACCUGAUCCGAUUCCUAGGCGCACUCUCCUCAGCUCAGCUCGGCACUGACUUGGAUGCCAUAUUCUGCAAGCAACUGCGGCCUGCGGGUAGGCUGGCCCUUCCCGUCAGGGCAAUGCUAGCUAAGCUGAGCUCAGGAAGCCUUGCUACGGCGCAUCACUUUUCUAACCUUAUUACCUUGCAUCAAAACUGUUCAUCUGUUACCAUCCGUCUUGGAAGAAUACGUUUUUUCUACAUGAGAAAAGAAAUCCAGUCGUGUUUAUAGUUGCUUCUGUUCACCUGACGUAACCACCCAGACACGAACUAGAACUACGGCCUUGUUUAGGCCUAACUCCCAACUUUGACACUAUAUAAAAAGAAGAUUCCCCAUCACAUCAAACUUGCGGUACAUGCAUGGAGUACUAAAUGUAGACGAAAUUAAAAACUAAUUGCACAGUUUUGUUGUACUUUGCGAGACGAAUCUUUUAAGCCUAAUUAGUCAAUAUUUGAACAAUAAUUCACAAGUACAAACGAAACGCUACAGUGUGCUACAGUGCUGGAACAGGAAUUUUGCAUCUCCCAAAUUGACCAACUAAACAAGGCCUUAGUUACCCUAAAAUCCUAACUUUGGCACUAUGCAAAAAGAAGAUUCCCCAUUACAUCAAACUUACGGUACAUGCAUGGAGUACUAAAUGUAGAUGAAAUCAAAAACUAAUUGCACAGUUUGGUUGUACUUUGCGAGACGAAUCUUUUGAGCCUAAUUAGUCAAUAUUUGGACAAUAAUUCACAAAUACAAACGAAACGCUACAGUAUGCUACAGUGCUGGCACAAUGAUUUAACGCUACAGUAUGCUACAGUGCUGGCACGAUGAUUUUGGUUGUCCAAAAUCGGGCAAGGCCUACUAUGCUUCGAUGUCGGCAAAGCCAGGUCAGUAAUCUUGCCAGACACAGAGUAUGACCACGACCACGUCCGACGUCCCUGAUUGAGGCGGGCAGGUUUCUUCCAGCACCGCGAAUGGUGGCGGCACGAGCUCGCGGCAGCCAAUAGCGGCCGGUUGCCGUCCCGAAUGGUCAAACCGUCGCAGCAAUGAUAGAAUAGAAUGGAAGCCGCAGCGUUUUCUUCAGUUUCGUUGCGAAGCGGACAAGGGCGCGGCCGCGCGGCCGGCCAGCGGAAGAAAGAAAGAUGCCACGCCAGCGGCCACCAACCGCGGGCAAGUGGAAACCGAAAGCGAGGUGGGGCGGCGCGUGGGCGGACGGGACGGGACGGCAUCAUGGAGGUCGCUACCACCAACCGCGGGCGCCCGGGGCGGGGGCACCUGCCUGCCUGCCGCGCGCCGCCCGCUGGCUGCCGUGGAAAACGAGGGCACCCCGCGCCCGCUCCCGGCUCCCUCCCGCAUGCGGUGGGUUCCACCGCGCUCCCACUACUUUCCCCCACCCCGCGCCGCGGUGCAGUACCGUCCACCGCGCUGCUGGCCGCGCCAAUAGCCGCCGCUGCGCGCUGAUUCGUGAGCCCGGGACACGGGAUCCCUCCCGUGAUCUCCCUGCCCGCGCCGCGGACGCGUCCCCGUUCCACCCCCCAACCCCGCGCGCGGCGCGCCCGCGGUCUCCGCUGCGCCGUGUUCGCGGCCGCGGGGCCGGAUCCGGUCAGCGCUGGCGUCACGCCCCACUCCGCGGCCGCCCCACCCCGGCGCCUGCCUGCCUAACCUAUGCUAUGCGCUCCGACGCGCGCCUCCACUCCACCCCGCCCCGCCCGGCCCACCGCGCGCGCCUCGCUGACGGCCGGGGCCCCGCGCCCCCCCACCUGGCGGGCGCGGGCAGUUGGCGCGCCGGGCGCACGCGGGCGGUGGGAGGAGGAGGCCGGGAGGAAGAGGACGUUGGACGGGCCGAGCCGUGGGGCCCCCGGCCGCCUCCCCGGUUCCCGGUCUCCCACUUUCCGCGGCUGCGCUCCCCCACCUCGUGCAGUCGUGCUCUCUCUCUCCCCCUUUCCUUCGCCCCCGCGUAGACGAUUCCUACCGAGCCGCGGACGGAGGAGACGGAGCAGGAGGCCAGGAGCAUUUUCUCCCCGCAAAAUCCUGCGCCCUUCUCCUGUGCAUUUGGGAGCUCGGCUCGGAUCCCGCCGCCCCCAUCCAGCCAUCCUGCUCUCUCUCUCUCUCUCUGUGUGUGUGUGUGUGUGUGUCUCGUUCUAGGCCUUACUGUUCUCUCUCAGUCACCGCCAGCUCGAUCUCCUCUUCCUCGCCGCGUUGCGUUCCUUCUGCUCGCUUGCCUAGGAUUGGAAUAGGACUUGGCACGCGGGCUUCUUUCCGCUGAAAUCUCUGCCGUGUUCCGAGCAAUUUCUGCUCGAGCGCGCCAUCUGUUGCCACUUGCCAGCAAAAAAACAGUGGAAACCGCCUUGCCUUUCUAGUGUAAGCAAGCUUUCACCUCCCGGAAUUUGCUUCUUUUGGUCAAUCUUUUCGGGGCUUCCAGGUCUCAGCAUCACCAGUGCCCCUUUUGCCGCGAUCUUUCUGUCUGAUCACUGCAGUUUAAGCUCGGAGCACCUCCUUUUCAGACAAUUCAGUCCGCUAGCUGUUGAUCCCAUGCGGCGGUAGCUUCAGCAAAGAUCCUACCAUGCCGCAGGCUCCUACAGAGCCGUUCGCCGUGGCGUAGCUGUAGCCUCGCUGACCCCGAUUGGCCUGCGCGGGCUCCGAGAUUCGGAUUCGGGUUCCUUCUUUUCGGCUCCCGCGCCCGCCAUGAACGGCCUCCCCGACGCCGACGCUGCGGCGCCGCUGGCGACCGCCGCGCCACCGCAGAAGCGCGACGAGUGGAGCGAGGGCGGCAUCGUGCGCCUGCUCGAGGCCUACGAGGCCAAGUGGCUGCUGCGGAACCGCGCCAAGCUCAAGUGGAGCGACUGGGUCGACAUCGCCCGGGAGGUGUCCGCGCAUUGCGCCGACGACGCCGCGGCCGCGGGGAAGGCCCCCGGCGGCGGAGGCGGCAACAGCGCCAAGACCCCCAACCAGUGCAAGAACAAGAUCGAGUCCAUGAAGAAGCGGUACCGGGCCGAGUCCGCCGCGGUGGCGCGCGCAGGCCCCGCCGCCGCCGGCCCGUCGUGGCGGUUCUUUGCCCGUAUGGACGGACUCCUUAAGGGUCCGGCCAUCUGCUCUGGUCAGGUGCCACAGGCAGAGUUGGGUAACAGUAUAGACCUGCGAGCUCCGGCGAAAGCAGAGGCCGAGGUAGUAGAAGCAGAUUUUGCCGCGCAGUUGCCGGAUGCGGGUCCUGGUGCAUUCUCUGAUCUGAUGAACAUUGACACAAAUGGCGCUGUCCCGGAGAAAGCGGAGAAGGUUGACAACAGCGUGCAGAAGGAGAGCAGGGCUGCAGAUAGCGAUGCCAACGUGAGCUCUCCAAGGAGUAAGGUGGCGAACGAGGACGUAGAGGAGGUGGACAAGGUCAGGGACCGGCCCAAGAAGAGAAAGAGCACAGAGUUUGAUAUAGCCAAGAGCAUCGAGCUGCUGGCUAGCUCAUACUUGAAGAUUGAGCACGCCAGAAUGGAGAUGUACAGGGAGACAGAGAGGAUGAGGGCUGAAGCUGAGAUUAAGAAGGGGGAAAUGGAGCUCAAGAGAACAGAAAUCAUGGCAAAAACGCACUUGCAGAUCGCUAAGCUUUUUGCAAAGAGAUUGAAGGAGGGCAGUGGCAAGACUGGUGGCAGCUCGUCAGUAACAGCUGAAGUGGACACCCAUACCAAGAAAGGCGAGAAUGGUUAGUGUCGACACAACAUCCCGAUAACAUGUUUAUAAUUCUGCAAAAGUUCCUAAAAUUCGAGAUAAUGGAUCAAUAUGUAGCUUUCUCUCUGUGAGAGUGCCCCAUUUGCUAAGUCUGUACCUCUAUGUCUGUUCCUGAAAUUCAUGAAUAGGAUGGAAACUUCAGCCUAAAUUAAUUAUAGCAGUCAGAAGUUGAUUACUAUGUAAAAUUGUAGGACACCUUGAGAAUUUGUGUAGUGGUAGAAGUGUAACAUUUUCAUUUUGCAGCUGUUGUCUGCUUUUCCUUAUUCGUAUGUAAUUGUUAGCAAUCCACAUGUGGAUCAUCAUUUCCCCAUUAAAGACUGAAACUACCAGUACGAAAUAUUUAUGUCUGCUAAAACUUCACAAUUAAGACUUCAUGUGAAUUCUCCAUUAACAUGAAGUCUUAAUUGGUAUUGUGAGUUAAGAUCUUGCCAUAUUACAUUGGCAUAUGUGCUUAUUUAGAUAUUGUUCUGGGACCAUAUUUUCUUAUUUCUUUACUGGUGAUAGAAGGGAUUGAUUGCAGACUGAUAUAAAGAUUUUGUUUCAGAAUGCAGAUAUUGCUGCAAGGAAUAGAAUACAAUUUUACCUCUUUCACAACCCAAGAAAAUACUUUACCUAAAUAAAAUGAUCACAUAUGUUCCGAACACAUGUCAGCUGAAAUUCACUACUCAAAUACAGUGCCCCAAUAAAAUGAUCUUUUAUUGUGCAAAAUAAACUGUAAAUGUUUAAAACCAUCUAAUUGCUCCAUAUGCAUGCUUUAGCACUUUUGAUUGGUAAUGAUUUGUAUUCAAGUGCAAUUCUGAAAUUUGUACAUCCCAAAAGCAUAAUCUAAAAGAGUGAUCCCAUCAUUCUGACAACAUUCAGGUGCUAUUAAUAGACCGAGCUUAGUGGUUGUGUACUCUAGGAAGCAUUGAUGUGUCAAUAAUAGGCUUAAAACGUUGAAGUUUAGGGUUACUUCUUGUUUCCUCUGUAUUCAGGUGAUAUUUUUAACUUUCUAAGAAGAAUCCCUUCCCUAAUGUAUGCAACCAAGAUUGACCUAAUAGACGUCGAGGUAUGCUUGUUUUAUUAUGAAUCUGUUCGCCUGCUAGCCUAUAUGAAGAUUCAGCCACACAUGUCAUAUUGAUGGCAUUGUGCUAGCACUAUGAUGUUUUACUGUGUUACAAUAAAAUGAAAAAUAGGGCUCCGAAGUUCCUGAAGGAUUUGCAUUGAGAAGUUGUAACUGCUCUGAGUGAUUUUUGUUCUUGUGUGCUUAUUCUUUUUUGGUUCAGUACCUACUCCUAGUGUUUCUGUCACGGUUACCAUACAAAAUCUCACACCUCUCAAGCUACUCAGAUGUUACAUUGUCUGUUCCGUGGCCCCAACAAUAUUAUUGUGCUGUAUAAGGGACUGCAUUCCUAUAUCACAACUCUUUUACUGCUGCAUAAUAUUCCAAUUUCAAUUUGGAUUCGGAAAAGAGAAUUCAAACUACAGCUGUGCUUGUUUAAUUAUAGAACAAAUUUUGUUUGUACCAGAAGCAAUAUACUGAAUUUUGUACCUGCAUUGUCCACCUUAUAUUGUUUGCUGUGGCCAAUUCUCUUUCUCAACCUUGGACAUGUGAAUUUCAGGUUCAGGGUGAUGUGCCAUUCUCUCAUGCUCAGCAGCUGAUUCUAUUACCAAAGCAGGCUAGCCUUAGGUGUCCUUGGUAUUGCACUGUUCAUGUGCACCAAAUGUAUGUCUGAUUGAUCCAACUUCACUGCGAGCGUGGAGGAAAAAAAAGUCACAAAAUUAGAAUACAGAUGCUAUAAUGGCAGCGACGAUAUGGUUGUUACCCGGUUUGUGGAAUUACAGAAGCAAAUUUUGUAUCAGUGAGUUACAAGCCUGAAAGCUAUCCCCUUCUGUCCCUGAAGUAAUCUACUGACAUCCAUUAUUUGUAUAAGUCCAUCUCCAUGUUGUGAAGAAAUGAAGCAGCGGUCGCCAAUGCUGUGAUAAACUGUAUCUUGCUGAAGCCCUUUCCCCCUUGACUAUGUAUUGUAACUAGAUUUUGGAGAGUUUGACUAUAGGGAUCCAAAACAAAGGUCGGCUAAGUGAAGAACAAAAGUAUAAACUGAACUGUACAUUUUUUUGGGAAAAUUAUAAAAAUGACUUGUCCUGUUACUGUUACUACAGUAUAUUUAAACCGCUUCCUACUGCAAUGGUGACAGACGAGACGAGGCGGUCACAAUUGGCAAAGAAGCUGCCGUGCAAGGUAAGGUCUCACCGUAGUGUAGGCGGGGCAGGGUAAAAAUGUGAGAAGAAGCAAUUCUCAGGAAGAAAAAAAGAAAAAAAGACUGGCGAUUCAAGAACUGAAAAACUCGAGUGCUCGGAUGGCCUCAAACCUUACAUUAGUUUGUUUCUAAUUCAUGUACGGUUAUUUAGAUUCCCCUCCAGAAAUAAUAUUGCCAGUUAAAGUACUUUUGUAACGGAAAUACUAGUAACCACAGACAUACCUGUCCCCACAUGUCAGUGGCCUGUUACCAGGCUGGGAGGACUCCUUGUGUGGCCCAAGCUUUUAACAACCGGAUGUAUGCGAACGCCGAACGGGCAGUCACCACUUGGUCCACCCUCCUCCUCCCUCUGUCCCCUCUCUGGCUAAAAGAACCGCAAAAAGAUCGCAUGUUUUCUGUCUCCGUCCUUCUACUCGAGUUCUUCCGUUCUUCGGAGUCGUCAAAUUGAGCGACUCGAGUUUGCCAUGGUGGUGAUUUGGAACCGGAAGUGCUGUGCUCCCCCUCUGAUCCCCUGAUUGGCCUCGCUCCAGUUCGGCGCGGGAUUUGGACGGGUGGAGGGUGGGAGAGCAGAGGCGGCCGCCAUGUUUGGGUCCAGGGUCCAGGAUGAGGUGGAGAUGCAGAGGAGGCCUAACAACAGGUGCGGGCUUCAUUCCUUAUGGCUUUCCUUUUCCUCUGCGAUGUAUGGUUAGUUCUGAGUUCUGACCAUGUGGAUCCCCUGUUGGAAUGGAUGAGUAGCUGCUAGAAUUUUGCUGAAUUAGGAUUGACUUUCGUUAGCUGUACGGGGAGCGAGAUUUGGGUUCGAUUCUAGUCGAGAGGAGAUAAGAGGUGGUGGCGUAUAGCUUGCACAAUGGGUUCUUCACUACCUCUAGGAAUUGGAGAGGACCAAUUUGAAGCUUUGAUCCCGAUUUGAGCCUGGAUUUUAGUUGCUUUGCUGAAGAGAGGGGAGGGAUGAGCCUAGGAUUGAGAUUGAGAGAGCUUUGCUGGAGAUCAACCGGUCAAGUCCAGAAUAACGCUUUGGUGCUAAUCGGACUAGAUGGUUUUGGUGGGCAUGUCAGAAUCUGACGAAGUUUGUGAAAAUUGCUGAAUAAAUGGAAAGCAUCCACUGCAUUUCAUUUGUUUAAGCUUUUUUUUCCUUUCAUUUAUAUUCAGCUUCAUGUACAAGCUUCUUUGUCUUUCAACUAGCCUGAUUCCCAUGCAACUGCGUGGGCAAAAUUGAAUGACACAGUCUACAUAUGAUUAUCUACACUGUUAUAAUCUGGCAUGCAAAAGUAAGUGAUGUAGAUCCUUUUCUUUUUCUCUUGAUUAGUGAUUGUGAAGGAGAGUUUCUAGGGUUUUACCUUUCGAUAGAUUCUUGUGGGAAUUUCUAACCCUUAAAGGGAAGGAAGCGCCAACCAUCUAUGGGUAUAUAGAUGUAUCAUGAUGAACUAAUGGUUAUAGCCUAUGUGGGUGGAGAUGUUUUUUUUUGUGGGAUGCUAUGUUCAGAUGAUAAUUCUGUUGCUACUUUCUUUCAAAGCACUCUAUUUUAACCCAAAAUUAUGUUGAUCAUAUUGACACAUUUUACUAAUUCUUCUAAGUUUCUGUUCUAUCUUUAGGAUCUUUCCUGACGAGAGACAAAAUCAAUCUAAGCCAUUAUAUCAAGCUGCACGAGCCGAUAGAUUUGGGGCAAAUAGAAUAGAUGUGAAGAAUCCUGAGAAGCUUAAGAUGUUAAAUGAAGGCAGCAAACCAUGGCACCAGCGUAUUCUAGACCCUGGAAGUAAUAUUGUACUGAGCUGGAACAGGGUGUUCCUUGUGGCAUGUUUGUUUGCUCUUUUUAUCGAUCCUUUUUUCUAUUACCUUCCAUUGGUUAGAGAACACGGUAAUGGAUCUUCGUGUGUUGCCAAGGACCAGGGACUGAGCAUAAGAAUCACCGUUCUACGAUCACUUGCUGACUUGUUUUACAUGUUGAACAUAGCAAUCAAGUUUCAUACUGCAUAUGUGGAUCCAAAAUCCCGAGUCCUUGGAAAGGGAGAGCUUGUUGUGGAUAUUAAGAAGAUUCAACAAAGAUAUAUAAGAACUGAUUUCUUUGUAGACAUACUUGCAGCUGUGCCGCUUCCACAGGUAAAGACCUCACAAAAUUAAUUUGCAGCAGAUCUCGUUGCAUAAAUUAAUUGCUUAUCAUUUUCUUAUUUUUCCAUUUCUACUGGUAUAACAAACAGCUGUUGUUUAUAUAUGUUCGGUAGCAAUAACAUAUACAUACUCUUUUGAACUAAACUGGUUGAGUAGCAUCUAUGCGUCCAACUUUGGUUAGAUUCUUUUGGUAGGCCUCUGGGAUGAGCCCAUACCAUUAGUUCCCUUAAUAUAAAAGGUUAUUGAAGGAAGUCAUCUGGCCAGUGCUUCCUGGUAAUGUUACUAUUUCCUAUCCUAGCUAAUUGUUGUCAGUAACCAAAUAUACCUCCAGAUUGUGACUUCAAUAAGGUGGAGCCAGCUAGCUUUCUACCUGGUAGAGCCAAAAGACAAUUGGUUUGAUCUUUUUCAACUCAGAUCAUGUGUAUCAUCUGAAUCUAAUUAACAUCCACUUAGAUCAUAAGAAAACAUUAAAAUUAUGAAAUUUUACUGUAAUAAGCUAUCUUAGCCAAAUCCUUGUAGAACAUUUUUGCCUGUGUAGAUGAAAUUUUGAAUGAUGAUUAUCACAAAUACUGAAUACCCAUGACUUGGUUUGCUAGUUCAAACUUCUGUAGUGAUGACUUGAAUCUUUCUGGGAUGCCUUUGUUUUGCAGGUUACUGUGUGGUUAAUUAUGCCUGCGAUAAAAAACUCAGAUUAUAACGUCCGGAACACUGCAUUUGCUCUCAUAAUUGUGAUUCAAUAUGUCAUAAGAAUGUAUCUCAUCGUCCCUUUAAGCAAUCAAAUUAUCAAAGCUGUUGGAGUUGUUGCAAAGUCAGCUUGGGGAGGAGCAGCAUACAAUCUUCUACUCUACAUGCUUGCAAGCCAUGUAUGGUCAUCCAUUUCCAAUUUCACUUAUAAAAUUGCUGGGAUGCUAAUUUGAAUCAAGCUUUAUUUCAGCUUAUUUUUGUCCUAAGGGAUAUGCAUGAUUUAUUUGCUAUUUAAAAUUAAGCUUGCCUUUUCUUCAUAUGGAACCUAAAAUCAGUGUUAUAUUCUAUUUUUCUAUUUAUAUGCAUGCUUUAUAGUGGCAGGGAACCAGCCUGUGAAGGCAACCACCGAGCGGUAUGGUUUGGGCCCUCCCAUCUGGGGUAGUUGCACGUGAUUGCCAGUCCCCUAUAGGGCCCAGGUUACGAUGCGGCCCAAUAGUGUUUGGGGGGUUUCUGGGCCUGUAGAAGGUUGAUUUCCUUCUUAAUCGAAAUACCGUGGGGGCGAUCUUUCCCCCACCGUUCGAGUUUCUUUUUUACGCUGAUAUGACAAGCAUAUCGAUUAUCCUAGUAUGCACUAGAAUUCAGUCUCAUGAAACACUAUUGGAGUAGAUAUGCAUGUGAGCUCAAUUGUGAGAAACAAUGCGACCACUAUCAUCUUGCAUUUUUUUCGUUACACUUUUGUAUGCUUGAUACUAAAAUAAUGUCACUUAUGACUUGUGUACAUCGCUGCAGAUUACUGGUGCAAUAUAUUAUCUUCUCUCCAUCGAACGGCAGAUUACGUGUUGGGAUCAGCAGUGCCUUGCUGAGUCCAACGUUACAUCUUGCAACCUUAGAUUUAUAAGUUGUGAGAGUGAUGGUUCUAACAGUUAUUCUGAGUGGCAAAAGAAAACACAGAUAUUUGUCAACUGUAAUGCCAAUGACAAUUCUAUACAAUUUAAGUACGGAAUGUUUUCUAGUGCACUGAGUAAAGGCGCUGUCUCAGCUUCAUUUCUUGAGAAGUACUUCUUUUGUCUUUGGUGGGGCUUGCUGCAGCUUAGGUAGUGAUCUAUCAAGAUAUUCUGUAUUUUUUAAAGAUCCAUCAAGAUAUUCUAUCACCUUGGGUUAUUUUGUAUGUCUCUAAUACAAUUACUAAUGUUAAGGUCUGUGUCUAUUGUCACCUUUCCAGUUCAAGCGGAAAUCCUCUUCAAACAAGUGCAUUUAUCGUAGAGAACGCAUUUGCGAUAGCAAUUGGUGCUAUCAGUCUCAUACUCUUUGCUCAGUUGAUUGGCAAUAUGCAGGUAAUGUCAUAAACUCUCACUUCUGUAGUGCAAUAAGAUGUUUUGGACUUGACAGUUCAUACUUUUUAUGCCCAUCUUGCCAAGUUAAUCCUAGGAUUGAAUUAGCAUGAAUAAUUGCAUCAUGUGUUAAAUUUGUAAGCAAAUUUUGAAAACUGAACUAGUUUGGCAAAAUUAUCAUGUAUUCAGUUAUAUUAUGAUGAUAUGUGUUAGGCUAUUUUAACUUUCUGUCAUUUUUUUGCUAACAAGCUAGAGGAUAACUUCCAUUUCAUGGUUUGAAAUUUCUGCUAAAAAUAAGGCUAUUACUGUUUCUGUAUUCAGUGAGCCAUUUUUCAUAUUGAUAGACCUCUUGAUGUCUGAUUCAGAGAUCACUUCGUAUUCUUUUCUUCUUUUAGACAUACCUGCAGUCUAUCAGUAAAAGGCUUGAGGAGUGGAGGCUGAGGCAAAGGGACAUGGAUGAGUGGAUGAGACAUCAUCAACUCCCAGCUCAUCUUCAAGAACGUGUCCGGCGGUUUGUUCAAGUUAAAUGGCUUGCGACACGAGGAGUAGAAGAAGAGUCCAUCUUGCAAGCUUUGCCUGCUGACAUACGCCGGGAUGUGCAGCGACAUCUUUGUUUGGACCUUGUUCGACGUGUAAGUUGCGGUUAUACUAUCAUCUCGCAGCUGAAUAAGUAGAAUUUUAAGCCUUUGAUUGUUGAUGGAAUGUUUACUGUAUUUGGAUGGAAAGAAACAAACUGUCACUCUGUUGCUAAUUGCAAUUGCUUCUAGUGCUAGUUGAAACUUGAUAUACAUUCCAUGGCAUGCCUCUGAUUCCAUUCUUCAAUGCAGGUCCCUUUUUUCUCUGAGAUGGAUGACCAACUUCUUGAUGCCAUCUGUGAGCGGCUGGUGUCUUUCCUGUGCCCUGAGAAUACAUACAUCUCUCGCGAGGGUGAUCCUGUGAAUGAGAUGCUUUUUAUUAUACGUGGCAAACUAGAGAGUUCAACAACCAAUGGUGGCCGCAGCAACUUCUUCAACUCUAUCAUCCUGCGCCCUGGUGAUUUCGCAGGUGAAGAACUGCUCACAUGGGCCCUGCUUCCGAAGACCAACGUCCACUUCCCGCUUUCAACAAGGACCGUGCGGAGCCUCACAGAGGUGGAAGCCUUUGCUCUGCGAGCUGAGGACCUGAAGUUCGUUGCAAACCAGUUCCGAAGGCUCCACAGCAAGAAGCUCCAGCACACAUUCCGGUUCUACUCCCACCACUGGAGGACAUGGGCUGCCUGCUUCAUCCAGGCGGCGUGGCGGCAGCACCAGAGAAGGAAGCUGGCUGAAAGCCUCAGCCGAUUGGAGUCAUACUCAUGGUGGUCAGAGGAUCAUCUGGCUGCUGAUAAACCCAGACAAGAAGGCACCUCAAGUGGUGGUAGGACGAUUGCUGAGGGUGCCAUUGCCCAUAUGCAUAAGCUCGCAUCUGCUUCCAGAAGGUUCCGUGCCAAGGACACUGCUAUUCGCAGGUUGCAGAAGCCUGAUGAGCCUGACUUCUCCGAAGACCAUUUCGAUUGAACCUGAUGCUUUGCAGUUGGAAAUACACGUUGUACAAUUACAACCAUAGUGUAAUUUUAUAUUCUUACUAAACAAGAAUUCUAGGUGUUGUGAAUUGUGAUAGAAAAGGUGUAUCAUGUAAUCCUUAGCUCGAGAAUCUACCCUGUUAGUGUAUAGACUUCAUCUUUGCAGUGCAUAUGGACUUGAGAGUUCUGAAGCCUCAUAUAUUGAGUUUCAGAGAUGCCAAUGAAUCUGGACGAUGCUCUGUUCAGGGACAGCAGCGCCAGCACUGACUUGGUACUUGGGUAGCACUGGUGUGGUGUCUGGUGACAAAAGAUUUAGCUCAAGCACUGUCCAAUGUACAUUGAGAUUCGUGAUCCCGAAGCUCUUGUGCUAUUUGGCUUUUGCUCUCUGGUCUCAGAGCCUCCGCCCUCCGUCUUGCUCACCUGAGUCACCUACUCACCUCCCCUAUCCGCCGCGCCCAAGCCUCUCGGCUUCGUCGGCGUCUUCCUCGCUCAGUCUUCACCGCAGUAAGUGAGAUUGAAAUGAGCUUAGCAUCAGAUGCUAAUCCCCUCCCCUCUUCGUUCGAUUCCGAUUUUGUUUUGCGUUUUUCUCUUGGCAAAGUUAUGCUACGAUAGCUGAGCUGCGCUGUUCGUGAUGGUCAUUUCACCCCCCAAUCCAGCAGUGGCAUGAGGGCGGGGCGGCCCAAGAUCGGCGACCAGGCGACCAGCGACGUGGUUGUGCGGCUACGGACACCGGAGGGCCGCGACGAGUGGCUCUACUGCCACUCCGCCGUCCUCGCCGCCGGCAGCACCUACUUCGCCGAUCGCCUCUCCGACGCCUGGCCGACGUGCCAGAUCCUCGGUUCGCGCUACUGCGUCGAGGUCUACUGCCAGGAGCUCGACCUCAGCUCCCAUGUCACCGCGCUCCGCCUCCUAUACGCCGCCGAGCCCUGCUCCCGCUUCGGCGUCCGCGGCGCGCUCGGCGUACUCCAGGCCGCCGUGAACCUCGGCUGCGCCCAGAUCGCCGCCGCCUGCGCCGGCUACAUCGAGUCCGCCCCCUGGGACGAGGCCGACGAGGAGGAGAUUCUGAGGACCGUCCCCGGCCUCGGCGCGCAGUACGAAUACAUCCUUGCGCGUCUCCGGCCGAUCGAUCCGGCUCCGGUAACCAGCAUCUUCCUUUCGGCGUUCCGGCACGCCACGCGCUCGUCCGCAGCUGGGCCGGCGCGGGAGCUCAAGUCUGCAGCUCAGGAGCAGCUGGAGUAUAUGCUCACCGAGGAUGACGACACACCAUUGGUAGCCCUUGACAACAUCGAUGUCAAGUCUCAGGUGAAGGAAUGUGUCACUGGUUUGCUGAACAGGUUCAGUGAUUUCUUGAGUUCUGUACUGACGAAGCAGAAGGAGACGCCUCUUGUUGGUGACAAUGGCGAACUUCAGCAGGAGCUGCACACAUUUGUUUGUGACGUCUCCUGGGUCUGUCAGGUCUUGAGCAAGCUUGAGAUGGUGAAGUGCAUUGUUCUCUAUUGGGUUGGAGUGUCAUCUGAUGUGGUUGAAGCUGUCGACGCAGUAUGCCCUGGGCACGACUGUCUGAAUACCAGGCUGAAGGUGGUAGAGGUGUCUGCAAAAGUACUGGAGGCUGUUGCGUUUGGCAAUAUUGUUCUUCCAACCGAGAAACGUCGUCAUAUGGUGAAUGUCUGGAUUGCCUUUGCAAGAACAACAAAGGCUUUGAUUGUUCAGGCUGAUCGUGAUGACGACGAUGAUGGUGAUGUCGAGACACCAAAGGCAAACCUGGACAACGAGGUUUGGCAGGGGCUGGAGUCGGCAUUUGUUUCAAUUGUGCUGACACUGCCGUCAAAUAGUCAAGCUGAGAUUUUAUCAGAGUGGCUCCAGUCAAAACAUGUUCGAUAUCCUGACUUGACAGAGGCGUUUGAAGCCUGGUGUUACAGAUCGAAGGUUGCCAAAAGAAGGUUCUCUUUCUUGAGUGACAUUGAUCGCGUAUCUUGAUCCUUGACUAGUCUAAUCGCGCUGUGGAAAAAUGCCAUUUUGUUCAUAUUCCUACCAUCUGACUCUCGAACUUGUCACUGAUAGGAUUGAGUUGCUGCCUUUCACUGAAACAGUCAUAAUGGAGCUCCAUUAUCUUGAUUCCAACUCACCCCAGAUCAGGUUGUCAGUUAAGUUUUGGUGGAUUAUCUGCUUAUGAACUUACAUUGAACAUCGCUGAUGGAAUACACAGCAGUACACAGCACUAUCGAGAUAAAGUAGCCGACAGAACAUCCUGGUCGAUAUACACAAGUCAUGAUCUGCACCUGCGUGUGGUUGAAGCUAUGCUGCAAAAUUGGAACAGACGCUGCUGUGGUUGGCAAAUGACCAAAGCAAACCGGAGAUACCUGAAUUGAACAAGUUCACAUGCUUUCGCUAUUUUGUUAGAAGAUGCACAGCUAUGUUGAUGCUCCCCUUUCUCAGGUUUUGUUACCUCCAGCGUGAUGCUGGAGGCAUAGCCGCAUGUGCAGUGCUGAAAAGGGCUCUUGCUGCCAGAAUGAGGAGAUACCUGUGGUUCCUAUUGAAAUUGACAAUAUCAGUUAUAUCACAGUAUAUGUCUUGAAUCUUGAUAGCAUCAAGUGGCCGACUCUUGACAGGCGGGAUGGCAGCCAGAUUUAGUACAUUACGCACCAUCCCUUGCUCUCCGCGAGGCAACAGUCUGUGAUCAAUAGGGCAUCAUUUCCUGCCCGCAGAAAAGAAAUUUGUAAUAAGUUGGUGUGAGAUCAGCUAAUCUUGUCUUUGAGGAAGUAAUCGGGGAUCGUGUGAUCUGUUAAUUGAUUGGGUAUUGAUCAUGAGAUUUUGACAAGCAUCCACGUGCCUGUCUCUUUUUGCUCGUGAGGGUUGCUUUGCCGAGUCACCACCAUGUUCUAAAUCGCGCAGUAUAUAGUAGGCAGUGGAAAACUGAAAUUAACGACUUUAAUCUCUGAAUGUAUUAUUAACAUCUACUGAGUAAGGUAAUCAGUAACAGCGCCCAUGGCCUAAUGGAUAAGGCGUCUGACUUCUAAUCAGGCGAUUGUGGGUUCGAGUCCCACUGGGCGUGCAAUUUACUUUUUUUGUGUUUUUAUUCCCCCCGCUGGCCUGCCUGGAUACCUCUGCGUCCAUGUGCAUCGAUGAGAACCCACAGCAUAGUAAGCCAAGCCUUCUGGUCGGUUGACAACCAGGAAGAUCGGAACUAGAUGCAAGCAGAGCAUUCAGGACUACUGCUUUUGGCUGUCCGUUUUGCCUAAUCUGGCUCCAACAAGACGUGGUCUACUCCCCGAGCUUUCUCCUGAAGGCCCCUUGCCGCCGUACGCCCGUACCGAGAGGCGAGAGAGAUCGAUCAAUGGCGCGGUUUGCAUGGCAGCGCUUGAUGACAAGAUGUUCGCGUGAGCUUGUGCUACCACUACAAGCUGCACAAGGGCAGAAGGGCUACAGCUGAUCAUCAGUCAUCACUGGCCACCGAUAGAGAAAUUGCCUAUCUGUAUAUUAUUGACGAGUCCAACACUAGUUGCUGAGUCCAACUUGAAUGGACGGACGCUCUAGAUGAUUGAUCUCUGUACUGAAACUACAUGACUGCAACUAACUAUACUCAUGCGGUGCUAAAGCGAUAGAGCAGCUCUCGGUCGAUCGUCUGCUACAACUUUUUUCCUUCGUGAUGACGAGUAGUUGUACUGGUUGUUAUCACUGCCAUGGCAAAUCAGCUUUCUCAAAAGAGCAACAAAAGUCUUGCUGGCUCCUGUAGUAGCUUGUUGAUAGCUCUGCGACAAGGCCACACGUGCUGUUCCGGUCCGCAAACGCCAUCAAAUUUCCACUGUUAACGUCCCCUAUCCUGGAUCUGGAUGCGUGCUGGACAUGAACUCGUGUAGAAAGAGCUAGUAAAGCGUUCGUUGUGGAAAUGCUUGCAAGUUUACUAUGCGUAUACUCCAUAUACAGUCCAUAUACACACAUGGACAUUUUGUGUUUCCUGAGAAUAUCUCGAUCGAUCGAUCGAUGUGUCGGCACGUCGUCGCUCCUGGAACUAGUAGCGAUAUUGCAAAGCAAAAGCCUAGCUACUGCAUUUUCCAAUAAUUUUUUUUUGGGAUGCCAUUUCCUUCGAGUUCGGGAGAAAAAGAAGAAGCGUAGGUUUUUUUUUUUUUUUGAGAUCAGAACGUAGUACAAUCGAGAGGGGAUACAGGAAACAUCAUGUGCAGCGGGGCCUGUCAGCCCAGAAAAUGGCCCAUUGCCUGGCUGGCCCAACCAAACAAAGCGGCUGCCAAGCCCAGGAAAUGGCCUCCUUCUCCUGGCCUCCUGGGCCGGGCCUGUCAGCCGCAGUGUACAAGAGGCUGACCAUUCGAAUUCGCAAACUAGAGUAGAAGACGAGUAGACGCACGUAUCCAGAAAAGGAAAGUGCCCGUUCGUUUCAAAAAAAAAGAAGAAAAAACAAAGAAAAGUGCCAGUUCCAAUUCCCAAAUGUCCACAGUCCACCGCCACCGGCCGGCGGCCGCCGCCGCGCCGCCAUUCCAGAUCUGCCAUGGGGGUGGUCGCCGGAGCCAACGGGAAGGGGAGGCAGCCAGCAGAAGAGGAAGGGCAAGGCCCGGACUACAUCAGCGGCCUUCCGGACGCCGUCCUCGGCGACAUCGUCUCCCGCCUCCCCACAAAGGACGGCGCUCGCACGCAGGCCCUCUCCUCCCUGUGGCGCCACGUGCGGCGCUCCGCUCCCCUCAACCUGGACCUCCGCUUCCAUCCCAUCCCCCUCGGCAAGGUGCCCCGCGUCCUCUCCUCGCACCCGGGCCCUGCCCGCCGCUUCUCCACCCCCGCGUGCUACGGGAAGCUCCGCGACGCACCGCCGUGACCCUGGACGGCUGGCUCCGCUCCCGCGCCCUCGACGGCCUCCAGGAGCUCGACUUCCACUACGACAUCCCGGCUCGGGAUCGGGGGAAUCCUCCGCCGCUGCCCGCACCGGCACUCCGCUUCUCGUGCACUCUUCGCGUCGCCAGAUUCUGCUUCUGCCGUUUCCCGGAUGGAAUCGAUGUCCGCUUGCCGGUUCUCGAGGAGCUGCACCUUUCGCAUGGCAUCAUCUCGGAGAGUUCUGUGCAUGCCUUGCUUCGCCGGCUGCCCUGUUCUGCAGAGGUUGCGGCUAACUUACAAUGAUGGCUGCACUAGUGUUCGGAUCGCGUCCCCUACCAUCAGAAGCGUUGAUGUAGGUCGAGGUUCGGGAGACCUCGGUUUGCAGCAACUCGUCAUCGAGGAUGCUCCCUGCCUGGAGAGAUUACGUCAUGAUACUCCUAUUUCACAUCACAAGAUGAUGGACAUCUUGGUGAUCUCGGGGCCAAAAUUGAGCAUUUUGGGGCGUAUCUAUGAUCACUUUCCCAGAUUUGAGAUUGGCACCACAGUUUUUAAGGUACAUGCGCUUUUAUCUUUAUAAGAAUCUCAAGUCUCUUUGCUUCAUCAUGGUGUCAACUGUCAAUCUUCGGAUUUUUCCUCACAUCCAUCUUCACAAGACUAUCGUGUCUCUUUGCUUCAUUAUGGUUUCAACUUUUGUAUUUUGUGCUUACAUUUGUAUUUUGUGCGCACUGUGAAGGUCUUUAUCUUUGUCAAACAAGAGUCUUCGUUUGGGUUUGGUUCUUAACUUCAUGAAAUGCUUUCCCUGCUUGGAGCAGCUGAACAUCAAUGUGAGUAAACUUACUCUUUAAUUCAGUUUCCGUCUGCAUUGAUUAUUUUGUAACUUACUAUUGCUUCAAUACUUGUUCUAGAGUAGGUUGUCACUAUUUUUGUGUUUAUUUGGCCUUUCCCGACAUUAUUCUAAGGAAGGGAAAAUGUGUGGGGUAAUGGACUCUGCAAUCUUAUUAAUACCCAUGGCACUUGUUUGAAGAAAAUUGUGUUGAGAAACUAUAGAGGCAACGAGUCACAUGUUAACUUUGUCAAGUUCUUUGUAUUGAAUGCAAGGGUUAUAGAGUCAAUAAGGCUUGUGUUGAAGUUUAGGAACGUUAGCAAUAGUUGGAUUGAAGGACAGCGCAGCCUGCUUCAGUUUGAAAUGAGAGCUUCCAAGGGUGCACAGUUGGAUUUUGUGUCUUCUGAUAGUUUGCGUGAUGAGGAAACCGCGUGAUUUCUCCAGAGAGGACCUCAUUUCCAGGUAUCAUAACUGGUCCUGAUUUCUUUCUUUCCAUGGAUUAGGGCACCAGACUAUACUAUUUAUCAGACACUUACUGGUCACCUGUUUGCAGCAUUUCGAUGUCUCUUCUCAUGGAAUAUUGUUCAAGAUACAGGAUUACCGGACCAUGAACCACAUACACCUAGGGAGAAGCAGAUUCCUGUCUGCUUGGGGCAAUGGAACAGUGACUUCAAUCUUGUUGUAGCUCUGCCAAAAGUGCAAGGAAGCCUGCAUUUUCACUUGUGCUACUGCUAACUACUGUACAUGUAUAAACUUGUAGACUUGUGAUAGUCCUGUCAACAGGGAUGGUCAUUUGGCUUGUCUGCUACAGGUUCUGUCGUGGAUCUAUGACUGCUAACUACUGUACAUGUAUAAACUUGUAGACUUGUGAUAGUCCUGUCAACAGGGAUGGUCAUUUGGCUUGUCUGCUACAGGUUCUGUCGUGGAUCUAUGACUGACCAGUUGCAGCAACUGAUUUCCUGCCCUAAGACUUGUUCCUGGCUGGUAGGAUGAAAGUACCAUGAUUGUAAACGCCUUUGAGAUGCCUCGACAUCCAUUUCUCAUGACAGUAGCACAGCAGUGAGAAACCAUCGAGGCAGAAACUCAAGGAAUGAAUUUCACGUUGUUCAUUUUGCUCGAUGCGAAAAAGCUGGAGUCGUCAAUGAGAUAUUGACGGGUGAACUCUACAUUGAGAACAAGGGGUUGUCUUUUGCAGCUCACAUCGUGGUAAUAUAAGUAGAGCAGAAUUCCAACCUGAGAAUUUGGGAGAUACAAUUUCCAGCUUAGAGUAGCAGCUUGACAUACAGCUCCUCAUGACAGUUUUUUUCAGAAUUGCAUGAACGCUCACGCCCCUUUGGUAAGCUGUGAACAAGAACAGGAAGAUGAGUUGAUUAAAGCCAGACCGAAUACAAUCAAUUUUCCAUUGCUUGAAGAGGUGGAUACCAAUCAUCCCUGAUGAUCCAUGACACAUAUUCAGUAGAAGACUACCGUAGGACAACACGCGCUAAUGCGAGAGGUAGCCUAGCAAAUGUUCCAACGCGCCCCAAAGCACCUCUACGAUCAACAAACCAGUUAAGAUGAUCAAUAAACUAAUAAUAUAAGUCCUCAAUGAUCAAUCAGUUAUCAGUCAAUCAUAUCUAGAUACAUCCCCGAUCAAACCAGAAAGAAAGUAAAGCAAAGCAACCAAGGGUUCUGUCCCUCACCAGUACUGAUAAGAUGCUACGGCCGAUCGAUCAAUAGAUACAGAUACACCGUGAUGCAAGCUAGCUAGAUGAACUGAGCGGAGAGGAGCCUGCGUGCGCACGGCACGCUCAUCUCAGUGCGCGCCCCACCACUCUACUGUUGGGUUGUCCCGUUUGCCUCAUCUGGCUCCAACACGAUGCGCUCCCUGAGAUUUCCGUCUCCUGAACCUGAACCCAUCGUCCUCCCUCGCCGUCCUCAACUGCUGCUUGAGAAACCAAGAUGGCACGGUUCGGCACGGCGCAGAGAUAUGACAGGAUGUUUGCCUGAGCUCGUGCUACGGCAUCGACUGACUUUUCCAGCCAUAUAUGCAUCGACCUGACCAGCUCGCUUGCUUCUCGAUCAGGAUGGGAACGUACGUGCGUGCGCUCUCUGCAGCUAGGUAACCAUGAUGGGUGACAGCGCGAGCAACUAAUUAAGCAUCGAGGACGGGAAGCCGCUGCUAGCUGCCAGCAAGUCUUCCUGCAUGCUGUAGACGACCAAUCAGCGGCGGCGGGUUUGGAGCCUUUCGCUCUGUCUGAAGCUGCAGAGAUGGUGACUUCAGCAGGAGUAGGUAUCUUCAGGGCUGUGGUUUUUCCUUGGACUUAUUGUGUUAGUCACAUGCGUAGGAUUAAGCUAUGAUUGUGAUUGUCCAGCAGGAGGGAAAGAAUCAAGCAAGAUGGAUUAGGGGCGCUUAGGGCAGCAGCUGGGCCCUAAGCCACUAACACACGACAUUGUCGCCAUCUUGUAGCCACCUAUAGAUACCUAGCUACUCCUAUAUACUUAUAUAUACAUACUCCAAUAGUGUGCAUUGAAUAAGCUUUGCUUUUCCGGUGCUAGCCAUGCAUGCAUACAUACACAGGUUAAUUAGGAGUACCAAUGUACGUACACUACUACACUUACUGGUAGUUCAAUAUGCAUACGCCAACAUGGAGAUGGUUUCAGAAACGCCUUAGCAUACUACACCAUUAACAACCUGAACACGACUAUCACUUGAUUAAUUCCAAGCUUGAAGUGUUCUUUUUUUUCCCGACAAAUCAGUUUGAUAUGACCUGUUGAAUCAUUGAUUGGCUAGUGAGGCAUUAGGCUAAUAGCCUAUUACCACCACAUUAUUUUGAAGGCAUGAACGCUAUACUAUACAUUGAUUGAUCUGUACUGAAACUGCUUCAUGGAUGCCACUAAACACUAAUGUUGCUCAUUUAUUUAUUGCACCAAAAAAAUGUUAACUUGCACUGGUGCGCGCGGUGCUAACAUCUAGUUUCCUACUUGGCGGUACAAGGGCUUCAAGUGCAACUACUUUCUUGCUAGCCACUCAGCACUCACAAGAUGCAGAUAAGCAGCUCCGAGUCGACCGUUUACUACCUCUUUUUUCUUCGCGAUCGCAGUAGUCUGUACUCAUCAUCACUGCCAUGGCAAAUCAACUUUCAGAAAAAGGAACACCAAAGUCUUGCUACCUAUCUAGCUUCAUCGCUCCGUGACAGGCCACAUGCUAACCUUGUCCCAAAACGCCGAAUUUCCACUGUCCAUGUCCCCCCAGAGUGGCUGGUGUUCGAAUAUGGCUUAUCACCCUGGAUGCGUGCAGGGUCACAACUUGUGCAGAAAGAGUAAGCCUUCUGCUUGAACAUCCAUUCAUGUGUGCAAGUCUACUAUGCGUAUACUCCAUAGUUUGUGUGUUCAGUAAACAUCUAAUCGGUCGGUCGAUCGAUGUGUCGACACGCAUCAUGCAACAUUGCUGAGAGCCAGUGAUGUCUUCUAUGGUAAGAUCAUGUAACUACUGAAAGAUCCUGCAAAGCAAGAGCCCCGGGCGGCCCAGUGCGUUUUCCAUUCAGAGUUUGGGGAACUAGCAAAGAGAGUUGCAGUCUGGCAAAAGCAAGUUCCAAGAAGAAACCUAGCUAUAGACACAACUUUACCAAAGACCCAAGCAAAGGCAAGAACAGCACUACCCAACAGCACAGCUAGCCCUUGCUUAUGUGUUUGGUGGCCUUGAAGUAAUUUCACUCGGUUAACCUUUUACAGCACAGGUAAAACGAAAAUAGAAGUAGAGCACAUAUACUUCACUAGAUAGCUUUGAAAAACCAUAGCGAGACUGUCAAUUGCCCACUUAAUAUAUUUUUCUUGGUUUUUGAAUCCUGCUUAGACCACAUGCAGCCGACAGCUAGCUGCACUUGUACGUCUGAACGUUUGUGCUCUUUUGUAUUAUUAGUAUUUCUAUAAAAUGUCGCGCAAAGCUUUUCUGUUUUCCGAAAGAAAGAAUAAUCGUCGCGAGAUACAUUUUCCAGUUUUCUCUGAGGAGGAUCUUGUAACUAGCUACGCUAGCUCAUCAAUAUACUGUCAACACAUGUAUACACACAAUUUUGAGCAUGCAGGAAAUAUAUAGCAUGGUGUCCAUGAUAUCUAUAGAUAGAUGAAUAUAAAUGGAGAGGCCUGGCUUUAUAUAGAUCUAGAUUAGUUGUUGCAGAAAGUUAUGUACCAACUAUAUAUAUAUACUACUCAGUAGCUAGCUUAGCUAGUCAAAGCUUAAAGCACCUGAUCAAAGAGUAGGCCAGCAAGCAAUUAAUUAGCUAAAAGGCCACUUGCACCGGAUCGGCCGGAGGAGAGAGAUUAAUUGGACGUACGGCAGAUGCAACAACUAAUCAAGCGUGCAUGCAAACUUCUGAUCUCAUCAGAUCAUCAGAGCUUGAGCGACAGGUCGAUCUCCUCCCCGUUCCGGCCGUGGCCGAGGCGGCCACAGCCGCCGUCAGCCGCGGCGGCCGUGUCAGCGCCCCAUCCUGCCAUGUCCAUCACGACGCUCGGUGUCGGUGGCGCCGCCUGCUGCGCCGCCGUGGCGUCCUCGGCCGCCCCAGUGGACCACGUGGCGCCGUACGUCGCCGGCAGCAGGAAGUCGUCGUCCCUGUUGUUGUUGUUGCGUUCCGGUGGCGCGGCGUGGAAGACGACGGCCGGUGGCGCCGGCGUCGGCGGCGGGGACGAGGACGGCGGCGCGGCGGCGGCGAGGAUGUCCCGGCUGCGCUUGGCGAGGGUGCGCUCGAGCUUGUGCGCGUUCUGGUGGCCGCCCAGCGCCUGCGAGCUGUAGAAUUUGCGGUGGCAGUAGUUGCAGGCGAAGGACUCCCCCGGGCGGCGGCCGCCGUCGACGGCGGGGACGGCGGCAACGGCGGGUCCAGAGCGGCGGCCGCGGGGAGAGAGGUCGUCGAGGCUGACGCCGUGGGCGCCCGACGCCGCCAGCUCGUUCUCCAUCGAUCGGCGGCCGGAAGCGAAGACUCUCUCUGCUACCUACGGUGCUGGGAAGUGAGGAGGAGAUCGAGGGAUGUAGCCCGUGUUGGGAGGAGGCUCGAAGCCGAUGGACACCAGCAAGAACGCAGUGGCGUGUGGCCGCGUGAGAGCCCCGGUAUAUAAUGACAAGCAGCCCGGGCCGGCUCCACUCCCACGCGUGUGCACGAGCCGGCCGCGUACACUUUGGGAGUAUCUGUACACGGUUUGUACGUGUUGCGACGUACGUGGCGUAUUUGGAGAUGUACGUCUUUCCCCUCUCGUACGCACACACACGUUCGGGGGGCUCGGGGCAGUGUGUGCUACGCUCGAGCGCUGAUCGAAAGAAAAUGACGAGGAGACAGCAGUAGGGGAGGUCGAGGUCCACGCAGUCAACUCGGCCGACAUGGAGACCUGUGAAAAGAGUAGCUAGGGGGCUUAGCGUCCGGCUAGCGGACAAGCCGUUGAACAGUCGAACUUGCGCAUGUGCGUGAAUGCCGCGAUGCGUCCGGCCAGUAGGCGCCCGACACCGCGGGCGUCCAUGGAUCUCUCCCAGAUAUUCAGGUGUGGGGCUGGUGCUUCCCGAUGAGAAAGACGGGGGGCCCUGGAGGCUGGAGGUGCCCAGCCGUCACGUCAGUGACCGUCGCAUGCACGGGCCGGGCGGCCGAGACGAGCCCGUGUGCUCUACCGGUGCGCUAGCAGCAUGGCACCUGCAGUCUGCAGAUCGCGGAACGCGACAAAGCGAUCGAGGUAGCUAUCUGCUAGUCUGUUCACUCAUCAGAUCGACCACUCUGUCCUUUUCAGUCGCGUUGCGUCGAUCCAUCGGCCGAUCUGCAUGCAGCGGCGCUCAGCGAGAAACGCGUCUGAACUUACUGCAUCCAUCGAUGAUGAACAAUCCACUGAAUGGUCGAUGAUGAACAAUCCAUUGAAUGGCUAGCGGCAGCCUCUGAGUCUGAAUGGAUCGAUGUAACCAACGCCCUCCUGCAUAUACACGGAAGGGCCGACACAAGUAGCAGCUCAGAUGGAUGACCCGCUGCACAUGAUCGAUGGCGAGGGCUUCCGCAGAAAGAAGCGAAAAAAUGGCACCAGGGGGAACCGGACGCGCAGGUUCCGAGUUCAGACUUGACUAGCGUGCUGAUGCGCAUUAGUCCCUGGCAUGCACGGUCACUCACAUGACUGCACGAGUGCUGUGGUGGCAGCAGUACAGCAUGGAACGUCCGUCCCUGCCCCUGUUCCCCACUGACAUUUGUCCUGGCAUUCUUUCGCGUAGUAUCUCAGAGCAGAGCCUGAGCCUGAUGCCUGAUGGCUUCACCGACGCGGCCAAAAGAGCGAAGACGAAGCCUGCUGGCAGGGUUAGAACGUGCUCGUUUUCCUCUGCCUCCCAACUGCUGCAACGACGUCCUUGUAGUACAACUGCAUACACAAUGCAGUGAGCUAUUACAGAUAUGUUUCACUUGUAACGGGAUCGACGACGCUGCUCCAAAGAGAUAUAUGGUGGGGGUGCCGUGCCAGAUCCUGCAUGGCAGUCUGGUCGACCGCAUGCGUGUACCAGGCCAGGACUCCUACAGUCCUAUGCACGCAUGCAUCACGUUUGCCAGGACAAAAUUUGAACCAGCGAAAAUCUGAUUCAGCUCGCCUGGUUUCAAACUGACACCUCCGAAGGCGGAACUGUCUUCAUUCCAUGCAUCGAUCAAUGGAAGGUAACAAUGCACUGGUGCAUGACACACCGUACAUUACAACGUCUACGCUCCAAAACUUCUCCAUGAUCACACUUUCAUAUCUUUCAACAAAAGGUAGCUGUGUAAGGAGUAGGUAACAAUGCACUCUUCGCAAAAAAAAAAAAAGGUAACAAUGCAGGCCAGCAAGAGGAAACUCGAAACAAGCAUCCACACACAACAGGAAAACAGUCACAGCUACACUUGUCUACAGAUCGAGGAGUUAACCGCGACAGCCUGAUAAUCUGAUGGCUGUUUUAUUUAGGCUCACUAUCAGAAAUCACAACAAUGAUUUCUUGAAUAAAUAAUAGCUCGCUGCAGUCCUAUACAUAAACAACCCUGCUAUGCUUCAUAUUACUCUGUAUAUUUCAGAUCCUUGUAUACCUCCUACAGAAACAGGUCCACAGUUGGGGCCAUUAGCUUCCUAUACAAACACAUUCUUUUGUAUUUGUGGGGAAACUCCACAACGACGGGCGCGCUUCUCUGUGGGCGGUACGUCACCAAACAUCUCUCAAGUAUCUCCCUUCCGUCUGUAGGCUCUUCACGUAGCUUUCUGUCUUUGAGUUAUCCAGUGACCCCUGCAGAGCACAUCCAGGGUAGCAGCAUUCACGGUAAAUAGAAGCACUGUACUGUACUUGUUGUGAAGCAAUGGCAGUAGCAAAGAUUUAUCAUGGUGUUACGCAACAAAAUUCAAGCAAGUAAGGUAACCUGGAACUUCACUGCAUUUGAGUCAACAACACCAAAAAAAUGCACUUUAAGAGGCUAGGGGGGCUUAACUGACAGAUGGUCAGCAAAUGAGUUGGCACUACUCAGAGCAAACGGGAUCUCAGGAUUGUUUUUUAAUAAAAAAAUAAUUGGCCAGAAACCACAGCUUUCUGCAUGAUUUGAUUAUCCUUGUUUUGAUGUUACUUUCAAGAAAGACACAUGGACAAGGGGAAAAAUAUCAAUAAAAAAUCCCUACGCAUGUUAAGUGAAAGACUAAAGAUCAUACUUAGUUAUUCUUAGAAACCAAGAGUAACAUGGUAGACCUAAACACAGCAAAACUCUGAUAUUAAUAUGCUGAAAGUAGUCGGCCAUGCUGUUUGGUGGUGGUUUCAAAAGCUUGAGUACCAGAGUGAGCAAUCUAGCUGUCCACUUCUUAGACCCUUGGUAAAGCAACUACUCCCUCCGUUCCAAAUUGUAGGUCGUUUUGAUUUUUAUAGGUGCAUAGCUUUUGCUAUGCACCUAGAUAUAGUGUAUGUCUAGAUGCAUAAUAAUAUCUAUGAAUCUAGAAAAAGUCAAAACGAUCUGCAGUUUGAAAAGGAGGGAGUAACUAAAUCUAGAAAGCAUCAGGUGACAGUGAUACAAUGACAAACUUUGUAAAACUAGACAUACCUGCUCCUGGAUGAUGGUAUGUAGUGUGCGGUGCACAUCUCUAGCCAUGCCCUUUGCAUCACCACAGACAUAAAUAUAACCGCCCUGAGAAAUGAUGCUCCAAAGCACGCCAGCCUGGGAAGAUUACAGGAAUUGUGAGAAAAGGGGGAAGUAUUCUAGGUCCUUGCUUUUAUUUCGUUGGGACUUAAUGUCCUUGUAAACCAGCUGUAUAUAUUCUUUUUUCUAUUUAUAUAAUAUGAAAAGAUCAUGCUGCGGGAAACUCUCCCACAAUUUCCAGUCAAUAGUAUUCUUUUGAACAAAACAUGAUUCUGCAGUGGACAAUCAGUUUACCUUUUGUGCCAUUUUGUGCUGAACAUACUCUUUUGUAGGACCCUCACGAGAAAAGGCUACAAUCAACUCAGAAAGGGCACCAGUAUCAACAAAGUUACUAAGCUCAUCCUCAUAUAUGAAGUCCUGAAAAAAAAAGACAUGAAUCAGUGAAAUUUUGAAGAGGCUACAAAGUACAUCCAAGUUGAACAUGUAAGAUCUGCAUCUCUGUAUGCAACAGAAAUGCGAAACAUUCUUGGCAGAUAAGGAGCUUUGAUAGAGGAAUAAUUAGAUGGCAGCUAGGUGUUUUCUAAGCAAGAAGUGAGACUGAAAAAUUUCAGCAAAUUAUGGACUUAUGCGAGCUAAUUGUUGACGAGGAUGAAUAAUGUUGAAACACAACCAUACCAUCUUCCGAUUUCUGCACCCAAAGAAAAGGAUAGCAGGGCCUAGUUCCACCCCUGCCUCUUUUAAAGCUAAUCGUUCCUGCCAGUGCAAAAAAGAACAUCGGACAUGCACAUAAAAAUAUUAAAGAGAGACAUAAUUUGAAGAACAAUGAACAACGACAGCUUAAGACAAAAACAAACCUGUAAGAAGCCUCUGAAAGGUGCCAGACCAGUCCCAGGGCCAACCAUUACAAUGGGCACAGUAGGAUCAGCAGGCAGUUUGAAGUUUGACUGCCUAACAAAAAUUGGUGCCCAACUACAUUCUUGGCUCUCUUCCAAGGUAGUUGAAUGCUGUAAGUAGGAUUAGCAGACCAAAUGUUUAAUGGAUGACAUGAUGAGUGAUAAAUAACUUACAGGAAUUAAAUAAUAUAUGCUUGAAUACAUGCAUAUAGUUAUACUGAAAAUAGUAUAUCCUCAGUUUCAAGAUUCACCUCAGACGAAAGAGAAGAAAAUGUCUUCUAAACAUGAAAGAAUAGAUAACAUGUACCUUCAUCCAAGUAGAACAAACUCCUUUGUGGAUUCUUCCAGUAGGGGUUGGCCCAUAUACUAGUGCACAUGUCACAUGAAUCCUUGUUGGUGCCAUUCUGCAGCGAUAUAUUAGCAUCAGUCCUAACUGAUCGAUCAACUUGCUCAGGUCAAACGAGGUAUUAUAUAGAAGUAAAGGCCUAAUGGGUACCUCGGUGAGGAAGAAAUAGAGUAAUAUCUCGGCUGCAGGCGAGGAGAAAUAGCUGCAAAGAAGACACCAAGUGGAGGCUUUGCUGACGGGAACUCCGACAUAACUUCUAAGAGACUUCUUUGGCUCGUGACUAUCCAUUGUGAAUACUCCUUCUGCCAAUGAAAGUCAUGUGAGAAAUUGUGAAUUAGAACACCAACAUCAUAAAGUAUAUUGAUCUAUUUUAGAAACCAACCUUUCCAGCAGGAGAUGCAAGGUGUCUAAGCCGCUCAGCUUCUUUGGGAUCAGAUGCAUGAGCAGCCAAAGCGAGCAAAGCACUCUGCAGCAACCAUUGAGAAAAUAAUAUGAAUGUGAACAAAAACAUCAUAUAGAUAUGGAUGAAAAGAAAAACACAAGUUUACCUUCUUGGGCGAAUUCAAUAGAUCUGCAUAUCUGGUAAGUGCAGUCCUGACUGUGCAGGGGGAUGGGAAAGGAGGUGGCAAAGAACCCCCACAAAGCGGGGUACCAUCCUCUUGGUCAGCAUAAAUUGAGAAUAAAGUAUCUGGUGAAUAACCUAGAAGCUUUUCUGCCUCUUCGACAAUUUCAAUGCAGUUUUCAGCAUAGACACCAACAUGAUCUCCAGUCUCAUAUCUAGUAAGGUAAAAGGGAACUGUCAGAAUAAUGCAUUCUGAAGUCCAAUCUAACAAUAAUGUAUGUCUACUCUCUACUCUUAUUUUCAUGAAUCCAGUUUAUUGAAUAUACUUACUUGAGUCCAGUUCCAGCAAUAUCAAAUUCCAAAUGAAUGCAGGAUCUGUCAGAAGCUGGUGUGUGAAGCUCUCGCCGCACAGCCACAUUUGCCCUGAAAGAUAAGCAGAUUGGUAUCAGCUCACACUGCAGGCAGAGCAAAACUUCCAGGCAUAUGUAAGUAAACUAAAAAAUAAAAAAAAUACCUGCAAGGAUGUUGAAUGUCAUAGACAGCAUGACCGUUACUAAGACUAAAUGACUUGUUAAUGUUUGUGGUAUCUUCUUGUUUAACAAACAGAACUCUAUAUUCUGGAAUAGCAGCUGUGUAAGGAGUUGCUGCUGCUGAAGAGUUGUCUUCCUGGCGGAGCAAUUUAUCCAAUUCUGGCCAUAGAAGUUCCUUCCUUUAAUCGAAGGAAACAACAGAAGGCAUUAGCUUCAAUGUGUAAGUGUUAGUCUACUGUUGAAACCAAAGUUAAGUGUCCUCGAAUAAAAGCACUAUACGCAAGAUAAGCCUGAUGAAUCAUCAGAAAAGAAAAGAAAAAAGCACCCAUGAAAGUAAGUUCAUUGGAAUUCAUACCACGCAUUAAAGUCAUCCUCAAUGCAUUGGUCGUCAUCUCCAAGACCAACAGGAACAAUACGUUUGCCACCUAGAAUAGAUGUGUAAAUGGACAGGAGUUAAUUACACUCAAGUGUUUCAAGAACAUAAGAAAACUGGGAAAAGCAUAACACAGGAUAUAUGACACAGAAGAUCCGAUGCACCUCACUCAAAAAUUAAUAUUGUGAAACAGUUGCUUGGUCCUUUCUAAAAAUAAGGGUCAAUUUGGCUUAUUUAUAUAAAGUUUGAAAGUUUGGCUCAGGCAGCAAAAAAUUGAUAGCAUUCAACUCUUUAAGCAUUUGAGCAUUAUUACCACAACACUAAUAGAAAACGCAAUGUGUUUACAGUGCAAAUGUGUGUGCGCAUAUGUAAAUAAGAUAAGGUGCAACACUUAAUAUGCAUUCUAAAAGAAAAAGUUCUGCCUAUGAAGGAGUAGCGUUCAGAGAUUUUCAGUGAGAACAAACAUAAAUGCUGCAUGCAAAAUCAAAAGCUUCAAAUCCAUCUGAAUUGAGAUUGAAUCAGUGAUGUGGCCGCUCUAAUUUAGUUACCUUGUUCUGCAAGGAGCUGAUCAACCAUCUUUCCAAUCUUCAGUGGAGACAAAAUGACAAAAAAAGAACAAAAUUAGUAUGCGCUGUACAAACAAAUAGACACAUCCAAUCAAUGUAGACGCACCAACAAACCUUGUUAAAGUGCUCGUACUGUCUAUUUCCAAGGCCAAACACCCCAAACUGAAGAUUGCUCAACCACUCACCUCUCUCAUUCCCCUGCAGACCAACCAGAUCAAGAGGCAAUCAAUAAUCAAUAAAAGGAAAAAGGACACAUACACAGGUGCAUCCAUAAAAGUAAGCUUGCAGUCCAACCUCCGAGAACCAUUUAUAAAACCUUGCUGCAUUGUCAGUUGGCUCGCCGUCACCAUAGCUACAAAAAGCAGCAAGAAGACAUGCUAACAAUUAACACAAAACGUACUUUCUCCUGGCUUUGAUCGACUUAGUAAGGUGGUGGCAAUUCUUACGUUGCCAGGAAGAACAAUGCAAUGCUCUCCUUCUUGAGCUUCUCUCCGUACUCCUCAUCCUCAGCGGCGUAAUCAUCCUAAACCCCAGUGAAGCACACAUCAAUUAUAACAGAUAAGCUGCCAUAAACAUGAAAUUUUAAGCAGCAGCAUGAGGAUGGAAUCAGUCGAGCGUACCAGAUCGACCACCUUGAAGACGGCCCUGUCGUACCUCGCCUUGGCCUCCUCCGCGAGAGCCUGCAAAUCCACGCCGAAAGUGGCAUCAAUUUCAACCCAAUCAGAAGUGGGAAACAACAGCAGAGCGCCGAGCUCUGCUUGUGCCAAAAAAAAAGAACACGAAUCAGUAGUAACCUUGGCGAAGCCCUCGGCGGUGCCGGUCUGCGUCCCGAAGAAGACGGUGACCCUCUGCCUGCCGUCGUCGGGGUCCGGCUCGUCCUUGGGCUUCGCGGCGAGGGGCCGCGUCUGCGCCUGGGCGGCGGCGGCCGAGGCGGCGCGGGGCGCGGCGGCGGAGCGGCGGACGAGCAGGGCGACGCCGCAGCCGACGAGCACGGCGAGGGAGGUGGUGAGCAGGACGAGCAGGUGGCGGUCCUCGGCGAGCGAGGACGCCCAGUGCGGCCCCCGCCCCGUCAGCAGCGCCGCCAGCAGGUCCAGCGCCGAGGGCUUCAGCCCCGCCGACGCCGAGUCCAUCGCGCCGAGGCGGGGGUGCGGAGCGAGCGAGCGAGUCGCGAGCCGGGGGGGCGGCUGUCCGCUUCGAUAGGAUCGAGGCGGUGGAGAUGCGCGCACGCGAGGAGGGCCACGGCCACAGAGAUUUGCUGCUGUUGAGUCGAGACAGCGGCCGCCGGCCGGGCACGGGGGAACUUUUAUGUGGCGCGGCCGGCGUGUGCAGGCUGCCGCGGCCGCGAGCCGGGACCCGGACCGGGAACGAGUGACCGAGGCGGGGUGCCGGCGCGCGCGGGCGUUUCCUUUCCUCGUGCCCUUGGUCUGCGGUGACGCGCGAUCGGGGCCAAAAAGGACUUGGGGUUGGGGUUUGGUUGGCGGCGAGUAGGGACCCGCGGUGCCGGUGGCUCUGCCUUUCCCUGCCGGGGUUGGUUUGGCUCGCGUUGUGGCUGUCGUGAGGCCACCGGUCUCUGUGCCCGAAUCGGGGCCGCCGCGCGGUGACACGUCGAGCCGAGCCAAAGUCCGUCGCGGCCGUCACAUUGGCUUCGAUUCGAUGCCCCCCCCACCACUUUCCAUCUGGUGAUCUUCCGCAAGCUCCCGGUUUCUGUCGCCCUCCCUUCUCUCUCGCUUUCGAACCAUAGCGACGACUGGAAGCGUGUAGGCUUGUCGCUCUGAAGUCUGAACCAUCACCAGAAACAGUAAAGCCGGGGCUCAGCGUCUGACUUGGACACAUGGGGGUUGUGAGUGUUUCUCCCUGCAAGGAGACUUGCCACUUGUGCGCGGCAAAAAUUGACUGGCGCCUGCCGUGCACCAAAUCGGUAUCAGGAGAUGUGGUGUGUGUGUGUGUGUGUGGGGGGGGGGGGGGGGGGGGGGGGGGUGCGGAAAACUCCAGAACGGGCGACGAGACUGGGUGGAGGACGACGUCGAUGUCCGCGACGAUUGCGUGCUAGGGCUGCAGCCUGCAGCUCCAUGUCUGCUUCGACCGUGCCACGGAAGCUGCGAUCACGAGUUCUGACUUUUGAUGCACGUCCGUCCAGACAUGUUCGGUUGCAUGGGCAUCCAAUGGCUCGAGCUCGUCAGUUCUGGCUGCUCCUUCGGCACCAUUUUUCUGGGCAUGCAAUGCAACCGCUCAGUUGGAAAGUUGGUCUGAUCUCUCUCCUCUCCUCCUCCUUCUGGACAGGAAUUUGGCCUGAUCUCAAUCAGACAAUAGCACCGUUUUUCUGCUGCCUCGUCAGACUGUGAGGAAGGGGAGGCUGUAACCUGGACUGGGCCGAAUUCAACUUGGGCAAUGAUGUGCAAAUUAGGCCGUGGCCCAGUUUAUCUCGUUCAUUCGAAAAUUCAAUCUGUUUCCGUAGGUGGUGAAUUUGCGUGUCUUUAGUUUGUGUUCUCUGAAAUGAAGAGCUUGCAAGCCAUACUGCUCGGUUGGGCAUGGAGGCUUCUUCUGCUCCUCCUAUAAUGAUAUAAACUAUGUAUAGACUUCAUGGUGGACAGCGAGUACGCUGUUUGGUCUCGGUAAUUCCUGUUUUAAAAAAUUGUGGAAAUUUGUGCAGUUCUAGUGCAGGCCUGCAGGGGAACUUGUUACUGAUUACUGUUGCUGAAACAGUUUUGGAUGCUAAACCAGGCAACAUUUUUCUUUCACAAAUUGAUUUUUUUCCACCAAAUUAAGCUCCCUAGGAUAGACAUUAUUGGACACUGCCACGGUGAACAGAAUCAGCCUGCGCCAUGACCUCGGCCAUACCGUCCUCAAACUGUCAAACACUCAAAAACCCUUCACGAGCUCUGCUCAUCGGAGUGCUUUCGCGUCACCCCCGUGCGCGCCGCGAGCUUCUCCCAGUACUCCGCGAGCAUCUCGGCGGCAGAGCCGGCGCCGGCCGCGCCGGUGCGGAGGCAGAGGUACGGUCCUCCCUCUCCUGCUCCGCGCAGCGGUGCAGCCGCUCGAGCGACGCCCCGGACGUACUCUCAUAGCUCGUGAUUGGCCCCGUCGCGCUCCCGGUCCAGGUAGUAUGCGUUGGCGUAGCGGUUGCACUGGUAGAGGACGUCGCCCGUGUGCUUGUCCCACGGGACGAGGCAGAGCCAGCAGAACUGCUGUCCGCAGGGGUCCGGGCACGUCACGCGCAUGCACCCCUGGUACUUCUUGAUCGGGGCUCCCACACCUGGGUCAGGGCUUCGUGUUGGCCACCAGCCAGUUGGCGGCCUCCCAGUCGGAGCGGCGCUUGGCCAUCGCAGGACGCCGGCCAGUGCGCCUCCACGCCGCUUCGGAAGAAGAAGAUCGGGCUCCUGCAGGUGCAAACGACCACCUCAUGGAGGUACCAGGUACGAGCCGGCAAGGGCGCACCCGGGCCCGGGGCACCAACGGAUGUCCUCGACGUACCAACGGGUGUUUGCGUUUAUGCACGGGAAAAUGUUGUUUCAGCUACUAGCACAGUUGGUGCGCUAAGAGUUUGCAAGUUCGAAUUCAUUACACAAAGAUCUAGUCGCACUUUAUGAUAGCCAAAUGCGUGCAUAUAGCAUACAAAUUUAUGCUAUUUGACUCUGGAAGAGACGAAACAUAUGAAACAUUUUCACUGACAGGAAGAACUCAUUCGCAGAUAAAAGGAACACAGCACUUGAACCCCUACACACGAUCACGACACGACCUCGGCCAUGCCGGAUUCAAACCCCUCCACGAGUUUGCUGAAGUGGCUCCGUGUCACAAGUGUCAGGUUACAGAGCUUCUGCCUGAACUCCGCGAACCUCACGGCGGCGUGCCUAGUGGCAGAGACGAAGUUGCGCUCGGCGCAGAGGUGAAGCACCUCCAGCGACCUCUCGGCCUCGCCCUGGAGGUACUCGCACAGCUCGCGCUUGGCCCUGUCGCGCUCCGGUUGCAGGUAGUACACGUAUGCGUACGUCCACCUCAGCACCCGCCGCGCCUCGACGAUCUGCGCGUGCGCAUCCAGGAGGAAGCCCAGCUCCGUCGGCGGCACGCCGAUGGCGUCGGCGAGCUCGUCCAGCCCGCUGCCCUCCAGAGCGUCCAGGUCCUGCCGCGCCUUCCUCAUCGAUGCGCCAUGCUCCGUCCAGCGUUCGUAGUAGUGCAAGUACCUCUCGAGCGACGCCCUGGCCUGCUCCCGCUGCGUCUCCUCCUCAGCGAACUCCGACUCGCCAUCGCCCGCCGGGUAGCGGUUGCAAUACCGCAUGAUAUUAGCCUUUAAUACCGGUUAGUUUUCGACCCGGUAUUAAUAUGAGCAUUAGUAUCAGACUAACGCCAUUAGUCCCUGUGAUCUCCUUUAGUACCGGUACCAGCUCGGUUUCAUCCAUUCAUAGUGAAGUAGAGGAGGUGCUGCCGGAUUUUUGACCAUUUCGUGAGGAUUUCACUCAUUCAAGUGUUCUAAAGGUUAGAAACUUCAUCCUCCUUUAAUAUACGGUUAGUGUACUAAGUUUUAUGCUUUAGAGCUUGACUGUUAUAGUUACCCAGGUACCCUCAUGGAGGCCUAGCCGACUACUAAUGGCCCGACUCGACUUGAUGAAGAAGGCAUGAGAUAGAGUUCGGCUAGGGCUCUUCACGUAUUGUAAUUUGACUAAUCUCAUCUAUACUAACCGAUUAGGGGUCCUGAUAUGUAACCCUACCCCUCGAAGUAUAUAAGGGGAGGUAGGGGUACCCCUAGGAGGGGGACCGAUCCAAUCCCUCAACACACCAACCAACACUCAAACGCAGGGUGCAAAACAAUCCCCAAAACAGGACGUAGGGUAUUACGCUACACUGGCGGCCCGAACCUGUAUAAAUUUUUGUGUCUUGUGCCUUGCGUUGCCAUCAAGUUUAUGGUUUUGUGAUCCUUCCUGCGUACAAAUCUACCACUUUACCACUUAGGUAACCCCCUGGUGGACUGUCGGGCUACUAAAUCCGAUAGUUGGCACACUAGGUAGAGGUGAUCGUGAGGUCCUCCUCAGCGAAUUUGAUGGCAGUCAUUCAAAAUCUGGGUGAGUUGUUCUCAAUAUCGUUAUCAGAUCAAUCUGAUUUUUGAGAAGCUAAUCAUGUAUUGAUCUUUUAUUUCUAAUAUGUACGUGCUGACCGAGCGUCGCCUGGCAUCGCGUGUCAUUAGCAACGGCCUCACAGCCACUACAUGCCCAAGACGGGGCAACUACCACGGCUGCCGCCAACACGCUCUCUGCGAUCAUAGUUGUUGCUCUAGCUGUACUCAUCUGCACCCAGGCUGCCGCCGGCCAUGAUUCUAUCUGCAUCGACUUGACAAGCACAUGAAGGGUGCGGCUGGAUUCCUAUGUCCCUGCUUCCUGGCGUUGACUCCAUGUUUGCCUGCAUGCAGCUAAGAAGAAUCAAUCUACAGGAAGUACACGUGAAUAGGGAAAUAAUCUUUCUAUUAUUUUUCUUCUUCGUAUAAUAUAUCAUGCUCCUUCGUGUGAUUGGCCGAUGAUAUUUGUUCUAAUAUGUUAUUUAUUAUCUCACCUGAUGCAUAUCCGUGGUCUUCCGUAAUCCGCAUAUCCAUGGUCUUCCAUAAUCUGUAUGGCUAACUUGCCGAGCACCCAACGACGGAUCGUGUGGGUCAGAGCUCAUGCGAGUCCACUGCGCUUGGCGGCAGCUUCGACGAGCUAACGAUGAUGCCACGCACUAGUUACGGUCAACGUCGUCGACACGUCGCCAACUAAUUCAACCACUCGAAUCCGGCAUGAUAGUUGGGGGUGAAUCCUGAUUAGUUUGCUUCAUCAACAACUGUCCGUCAACCACUACGAUCAAGAUGACGGUCGGGGCUUCUAAGCCUAAACGCGAAGAUGACACGCGGGUUCUCUGACUCGAUCACGAAUCAAGCUAAGUCUUAUUUACAGUUAAAUAUUUUACGACUUCAGUAUACCUACAUACGCCUCGACUCCUCCAUGUCUCCGUGACUUUCACCGACCACCUCGGCUCCUCUACGUCUCUGUAACUUUCGCCGACCACCUUGGUCGCACCCUGACUGCUUAUACAGCUUGGUCCGUCCACCACACGGGCAGUUAGGAGUUACACCCCACGGAGCUCAUGCUGGUGCUUUUCCGCACAGUUCCGACUGCUAUGUAGCUUGUCCGUCCCUCUGAAUGGUUGCUAAAAUACUUGGGUAGCACACGCCUUAAUCCGUGAAGCCUGACCCUCAUGUGUCGCUUCCUACUAAGCACGCUCGAGUCCACUCGGCAACACCCCGGCAGAGUCAGGUGCUUAAACGUAACGGGCUAACUACUCGGGAAAAUUACCUGGCCUAUAAGAGCAGGACGUGCAAGAGUUUACUUUUACGCUGAUUAAACGUCCAAGUUAUUCAAUCAUUAAAUAUUCUACAUUAUGCUACAUAAUGUUUGCAUUGUCCUUUUACAGUUCAGAACUACUCGGCGUGCCUCCUUUUACAGUUCAGAAACUACUCGGCGUGCCUCCUGCCGCUCGGCCGACCUCCCAGACUUGGGGGCUUGGGGCAGGAGGCGACUUGGCGUGCUUCCGUGGUUCGGUCGGCUCCCAACCUCAGGGGCUGGGCGACAGAGGCGACUCGGCGUGCUUCCGUGGCUCGGUCAGCCCCCGGCUCGGGGGUUGGGCGCCACAAUCUCCCUAGCUUAGGGCGGGAAGCGACUCGGUGCGCUUCCUCGACUUGGCCGGCUCCCAGGCUUGGGGGCUGGGUGCCACAGACGACUCGGUUUGCCUCAUGUUGUUCAACCGACCUCUCUAGCUUGGGGUAGGAGGUGACUCGGUGUACUUCCACGACUCGCCCGGCUCCCAGGUUCGGGGGUUGGAUGCUAUAGAUGACUCGGCGUGCCUCCUGCCACCAGACCGACCUCCCAAGCUCAGAGGAUGGGUGCGGGAGGUGACUCAGCGUGCCUCCGUUGCUUCUCCAGUCCUCGCGCUCGGGGGCUGGACGCCUACUUUGGGUCGGCGUGCUUCCGUGGCUCCGCUAGUCCUCGUGCUCGGGGGCUUGGAGGCUGCACUUGAUGUGCAUCCAUGAUGUUUCACAAGACAAAGACUAUAAGAUCAAGGAUUUUUCUUUGAGUACUGCGCAGCUUCUCAGCAACCAGACGAUGAAAGCACUCGGGCGAAGCUUAUCCAACUCGGCAUUUGUGUUGGGCUACCGUUCAGCUCCACACCGCUCGGGGGCUUAAUGGUUAUUGAUACCCGGGUACCCUCAUGGAGGGCCUAGCCGACCAUUAAUGGGCCGGUCCGACUUGAUAAAGAAGGCAGGAUAGAGAGUCCGGUUAGGGCUCCUCACGUGUUGUAAUCCGACUAGAUCUCAUCUAUACUAACCGACUAGGGAUCCUGCCAUGUAACCCUACCCCUUGAAGUGUAUAAGGGGAGGUAGGAGUACCCCUAGGAGGGGAACCGAUCCAAUCCCUCAACACACCAACCAACACCCAAACGCAGGGUGCAAAACAAUCCCCAAAACAGGACGUAGGGUAUUACACUGGCGGUCCGAACUUGUAUAAAUCUUUGUGUCUUGUGCCUUGCGUUACCAUCAAGUUCAUGGUCUUAUUAUCCUCCCUCCCUAUAAAUCUACCACUUGGGUAACCCCCUGGUGGACUGUCAGGCUACUAAAUCCAACAGAGCUAGAGUAAUUUGUGAUUUUUAGAAUAAGGUACAAUGGAGAAAAUUUUCAUUUAUAUGCAUGUGUUAUCUAGGGCUCAUAUUUGUGAUUUUUAGAAUAAGCUACACUUUUUUGGAUGUUAUGGUUUGUAUAGUUAAAGAAAUUGAUAUGAGGUUAGAGGAAUAAUUUUAUAGUUUAGUCCUUUACAAAUAUGAGCUAAAUAAAUUAUGGGAAAAAAUAUAAUUUGUUCAUAUUUUAGUCAUUUGCAAAUAUGAUUGAGAUAAAUUAUGGUACAUAGAGAUAAUAAGAUGGAAUAGAGGUAUGUAAUUAGGCAAUUUUUAGAAUAAGUUACAAUGGAGAAGUUUUUUCAUUUAUAUGUUAUGUUUGAGCUAAAUAAAUUGUGGGAAAAGUAUAAUUUGUUCAUAGUUUAGCCAUUUGCAAAUAUGAGCGAAACAAAUUAUGGUACAUAGAGAUGGCUGUUGCUGCUGGAGGUAGUGGUGAUGGUGGGGGCGAUCGUCGUUUCUCUCGCGGCAAGGGGAAAACCAUAGUUGGUCCUCAUGAUAAGCUGGAGAAAAUGAGCAUGUGGGAGAGAACAAUGCUUCGUUAUUUGCAAAUAUAUCAUGAAGAUGUUGUUGCGUUGUGUCAGGAAUCUCCUUUUGGUGGUCGUUAUGCUCCACCGCUAGUCCCGAGGGUUUUAAGUCCACUGAGUACUACCGUCGCAGGAGGCACAAAUAAAGUACAGGAUAAGGCUGGGUCAGGAAAACCUUCAUCUUCGCCACCCAAGGAUGCUUAAAGUCCUCCUAGAUGGUACUCAGUGGAUGGUUUGUCAUACUGUAUCAUGUUGUUUGGAUCUGAAAUUUAAAUUUCUGUAUUUCUAUCUAAACUUUCAGCAACAUUUGAGUUUGUCGUAGUGUAUCAUGUUGUUUGGGUCUAAAAUUUAAAUUUAUGUAUUUCUAUCUAAGCUUUCAUCAACAUUUGAGUUUAAUGGUAUUUGUAUCAUGUUUGUUAUGUUUCAUGUAUAAUUCUAUGGAUGAUCAGCAUAUCUUUGGUUCGGUAAUACUUUGUAGAUGGAUCGGCAAUAGAUGUACAACGCGGACAAACACUCCAUGGAGUAUAUUAAUGGCUUGCAUGGUUUUCUCGAUCUGGCAGAGUCCAACAAGCUACCGUCUGGUUUCAUCUAUUGUCCAUGCCGAAUUUGCAAAAGUGAGAAGGAUUAGUCAUCCAGAAAGACUAUUCAAGUCCACAUAUACAGUUCGGGAUUCAUGCCUAACUAUUUUGUUUCGACUAAGUAUAGGGAAAGAGGAGUUGUGAUGGAAGAUGAUGAUGAUGAAGAAGAUGGUAACUACAUUCCUGACUGUACUCAAGGAGGUACCUUUGCAGAUGCUGCAAUGGGUGAGGCUAAAGAAGAGAUGGUUGCAGAAGAAGGUCCAACCGAUGAUCCAGGUCAGGUGUUGCGAGAUGCAAAGGAAGACUGCGAGAAUGUGAAGGAGUCAAAAAAGUUCGAGCGUAUGUUAGAUGAUCAUAAGAAAUUAUUGUACCCAGAUUGCAAACAGGGGCACAAAAAGUUGGUACCACACUGGAAAAGUUGGUACCACAAGAGUUUUGAUGAGUUAAUGAAAAUCAUAAAGAACAUACUUCCCGAGGUUUGUUGGUACCACACUGGAAAAGUUGGUACCACAAGAGUUUUGAUGAGUUAAUAAAAAUCAUAAAGAACAUACUUUCUGAGGGGAACGAAUUGCCAUCCUCCACGUACAAAGCAGAAAAAGGUUGUUUGCCUUCUAGGUUUGGAGGUACAAAAAAUACAUGCAUAUUUUAAUGACUGUAUCCUCUAUUGCGGUGAGGAAUACGGGAAAUUGGAGGCUUGUCCUGUGUGCGAAGCACUACAUUAUAAGAUCAGGCGAGAUGAUCCCGAUGAUGUUGAGGGUCAGGCCAGCAAGAAGAAAGUUCCUGCGAAAGUAAUGUGGUAUUUUCUUGUAGUACCACACUUGAAGCGUUUGUUCAGAAACAAGACACAUGCAAAGUUAAUGCGUUGGUACAAAGAAGAACGUAAGUAAGAUGAAAUGAUCAGACACCUCGUUGAUGGGUCCCAGCGGGGAACAGUUGACAUAGAAUUUUCCAAGUUUGAAAAGGAUGUAAGGAACAUAUGGUUUGGUUUAAGUACAGAUGGAUUCAAUCUAUUCGGUGAGUUCAGUAGUGGUCAUAGCACUUGGCCUGUAACCUUAUGUAUGUUCAAUCUUCCGUCCUGGAUCUGCAUGAAGCGGAAGUUCAUUAUGAUGCCAGUAAUUAUCCAAGACCCAAAACAACAUGGCAACAAUAUUGAUGUUUACCUAAGAUCGUUGUGUAUGAAUUUUUACUGUUAUGGAAGGAAGAAGGAGUACGUGUGUGGGAUGAGGAUAAAAAGGAGACUUUUAAUCUACGAGCAUUGUUGUUCGUAACCAUCAAUGAUUGAUCGGCACUUGGUAAUCUGUCCAGACAGACAAACAAGGGAUAUCGAACCUGCACGCACUGUUUAGAUGAUACUUGUAGCAUAUAUUUGAAACACUGUAGGAAAAUCAUGUAUACAGGCCAUCAUCAAUUUCUUCCUGCUAAGCACCCAAUGUGAUGUACUUGAAGCAUAUUUUGGGAGCUACCUUUUUGGAAAGUCUUUGAGGUCUAUAAUGCAAUCGAUGUGAUGCACCUGACGAAAAAAAUUUGCGUAACAUGCUUGGCUUUCUAGGUACAUAUGGAAAGGCAAAGAUACAAUUGAAGCACGUUGGGACCUGAAACGUAUGAAACAACGAGAUGGUCUACAUCCGGAAAAGAGAGAUGAUGCACAUUACUUGCAUCCUGCCAGUUACACUCUCAGAAAGGAAGAGACGGAAAGCAUGUUUGAGUGAUUGAAUAGUAUGAAGGUCCCAUCGAGCUACUCCUCGAAUAUACAGAGAAUAAUAAAUUUUUACAUGGUCAAAAUAUCUAUUUUUUCUAAUUUUAAAGUUAACAUAAGUAUUAUAAGUAUUAUGACCAUUAUAACAUACUACUAAGUUAAAAUUAAUAACUUUCCUAAUAUUUGACUGAAUCUAAUAUUUUUAUAGCAUCAAGCUAACAAAUUGUUUUUCAAUUUUUAUAAAUAUAAUUUGAUUUACUACACAAUAAAUUAAUAUAAUAGCAUUUGUAAAAAAACAAAAUAAAAAGAUGUUUAGGCAGGAAGCCAGAACAGUGGGCUACAAACACCUUUAGUACCGGGUGAUAAAAAUACCCGGUACUAAAGGAGGACAGUUUCGUUUUGGCACGCUCUGACGCGCUCCUCCUCCCCCGACCCAGUGCCGCCAUCUCUGCCGCGCCGCCCGUCCGCCCCCAGCGCCAUCUCUGCUGCGCCGCCGCCGAACUCGGCAGCCCCAACCCGUCGGCGACCGUACUGGGCCCCGCCAGCACUCCUCCCUAGCGGCCGCCCGAGAUAUUGCACGCGGCCACGGGCUCGUCGUCUGGUCCGCUGACGUAAGCCCGCGGCCGUGCUGACGUCAUUUUUUUCUUUUUAUUUCUUUUUAAUUCUAUGAUUUAGGAAUAAGUUAAAAUAGCUAGAAAUUAUAGAAAAAUUAUUAAAAUAGCGAGAAAUUAUAGAAAAAAUGUUAAUUAUUAGUAUGGAAAUGGUGAUAUAGAAAUUGUGUUAUGAAAAUUAGAAAAUUUAUAAAUAGCGCUAGGAAAUUAGUAUACAUUAUUGCCUUGCAUUGUUUUAUUAUAACAAAUUGUAUAAAUAUUAGUCAUUCUUUUUUAUUGUUAUUUAUUGUAACAAAUUGUAUUAGUCAUUUAUUUUUUUAAAAUGUAUAAGUUUUAGCCAUUCUUCUUUGUAGUCAAUUAUUGUUACAAAAUGUAUAAAUAGUAGUCAUUAAUUCCGUAGUCAAUUAUUGUUACAAAAUGUAUAAGUUUUAUUUAGUCAUUCUUUUUUGUUGUCAUUUACUAGCAAUUCACAGUAAAUAUUGUUGUAGUCUUCACAGUAAAUCAAUACACCGACCUCAUAGACAAGCUUAACAAAGCAUGGGCUCACUUCCGACAACAUCACUCAGGUGAAUUCGAGGAGCAACUUCAUAUCCACUCAGAAUUUCAGGUAUGUAUUGAAUUUGCACAUCUCAUGUCACUUCCUUGAACACAACAAAUAUUUCAUAACUUUUUUUCCCAUAUAUAUAGUGUUUGAGACAGAAUACAGGGAAUUAUUUAUGCGGAUACUAAGUAUGUGAGUUCAUCCAUAGUUUUGUAGGUCCCAAGCGUAUGACCGACCACGAAUUCAGAGUACGUAUACAAAUUUCUUAACAAUAAAUUAGUUCUAAUUGUGUAGAUCUAUUGAUCUAAUAUAAUAACCUUUGCUAAUGACAUAGAUUAUGCACAUGAAAGAAGAACUCCUCGAAACGGAAAAAAUCAGGGCAAUUUAAGAACAACUCAGUGGAUUUGUUUCUAACGAGGUAGUAAAUCCAGCGGGAGAGUUCUAUAAUAAUGGAUCAAAUCUGCAUCACCGUCAGGACUCGGGUUCAGAAUAGUUGAUCCAAAAUGUUAAACUUGGAGAGUUGAUACAAUAUAAUAUUAUUCAUAUAUGUGUAUGUACAAUAUGUCUAUGUAUAAUAUUAUCUCAAAUGUAAUAUUAUAGAUCAAAUAUGGAUUGCCGUAGACGCAGGAUGGGAAGCCAAGGAGAGGCUUCAACUCCAUGAGAAAGAGAUGAUGGGAACUAUGGAUUGCAUGACUACAUCGCUUCCUGUAAGCAUUCUCAUUCACACAAGGGUUAGACAAACAUUCGCCGGUUCAAGAAUUUAGCAAUUUGUCUUAAUUUUUUGUUGUCCACACAAGCAUACAAUAGCUAGUCAUGACUACAGUAGUUAAUUAUGCAACGGCAAUACACAAAUGAAUAGUUUGCAAAACUGAUCAAUAUACCUUAUUCAUUUCAUUUUGACUGCACGAUUCUUCACUAUAUUGAAAUGAUCAAUAAUCAAAUUUGUCAUGACUUCGAUUGUAAUCUCUCUCUCGAUAUAGAGUAGCAAGCAAUCUCUUAAAAAUCCAUCUUCCAUUAUGUUUUGUAGCCUAGUCCUAACCAAUUUCAUUGCAGAAAAUACACGCUCUAUAGUUGCAGUUGAAACCGGUAGAGUAAGAAUAAGGCUUUGGUCUAAUUUCAUCGGAAAAUCCUAUGAUACUAUGAGACAAGAAAUAAAAUUGAAAAUAAUGUAGAGGAUAUACUGAUAUGGCUUAGGAAAAUAGGGCUGGCUUACAUUGGUUUGAGUCGGUUGUGAUAUUGCCCUUCAUUGCAGCCACGCCGCCACGGCCACCGGCUUGUCCGUCGUCGAUGGCGCAAUAAUGGUAGUGCAAGAUUCCAGCAGUCCGCAGACCGCAGGCGGCGGGCGACAGGGCAUCGGGCGAGGUUUUAGCGGCGUUGGCGCGUCGCGAGAUUGGAAUGAAACGUCGCGUGAUUAGGUACGUGAACAUGCACCUGACCACGUGCGUUGUUUGGGCUCUGGGCAACAGUUGCCAGAAUGCCAAUUGGGCUUGACCCUGCGACCUUUAACUUGCUAAGUGCUGAUAUAGUCUAUGGGCUGACAAUUGACAAGAGGUAAUAGAAAUUUUUCUUUCUUUGUUCGGGGAGGCCAUGCCCCGCCCCCCUCCCCCCGUUCCACCACUGAUUGUAGAGCACCCUUUUCCUUUUAUUCCUAGCUGGAAAGCACAUUAUUUUCAAAUUUUUCCUUGUUUGCCUGAAUCUGUGAACCUCAAAAAGCAAUAUUUUUUGAAUAAAUUGAAAGCAAUAUGACAACACAAAUUAACAUGCCAGAGCGAGAAACUUUGCAAUGCGAAAAACCAAGGUGUCCAUCACCUUGAUUGUACUCGCCGAGCCAACACGGAACUGUGAGCUUUGUUAAGGUAACUUCCUCCAAUAUGUAGUUCAUUAUGUAACUUUGGGAUAAAGUUACAUGUCUCGAGCGCUUACGAAACAACCCUGUUAAUAUAGUUGUGAAAAUGAAAAUCACGUGUCUAGACUUGAGGGGAGAAGUGUACAGCGGCAUAAGCAUGGACUGCAUGGUCCCUGGAGCCAGCAGUGUCGUUCGUUCUUGAGGGUUUUGGCCGCGUCCUCGCGCCCGUGCAUAAGCAGUGGCAUUUCCACCGCGCCGUGCCGUGACCAUGGGAUUCCAAUGGUGACGGCGCCGUGCGCUAGCCGGGCAGUGCCGAACGUAGCCUCCAAACUCAGAGCGUGAAACAGCCGCUCCUCGUCUUGGCGUCAAACUGUCCACGGCAGGACGUACAGGUGUAAGUGUACGAGUUCAGUAUCAGUCACCUUGAAGCAAGGCGAAUAGGCCUCUGCUUCUGCGCCGCAAAUGGCGGCGUGGGUGGCCUCAGCGUUCCAGGACAAGAGACACGGCGUGGCCUGCCUGGGAGAAUGGAGGGUGUGGGCGCUUGGCCUGCUCUUGCCCGGCAUCCGGCAAGAGUACAGGAGCACGAUGCGGGCGGCACCUUGCCGGCGCGCGCCAGUGUACAGCACGGCGUUGGUCAGAUUCAGCGGCACCUCGACCGCCCGAUGCAUGGGAACGCUCGUUCUCAAUCUCUGCGGUGAGCAUCACACCCUCCAAUGUCGGGCGUUGGCGACGAGCGCGGGCGGGAGCGCCUCUACGCGUUCUUGGUGGAAUUAGUGUUGUUUUGACGCCGUCCGACGUCGGCCGCGAUGACAAGGCGGGACACGGCCGAGCACGUCGGCGAGCGCAUCCGAGAUCGUGUGCAGCAGAACGCCCGAAGAAAUUGUCGAGAAGCUAGCGGCGAAGGCCACAAAGGCGUGCUUUGUCGCCGACAAGCCUGGUGGGAUCGCCAUUGAGGCGAGCGCGCUGGGGAACCGAGACCCCAAAUGAAAUACCGUCCACCCCCGGUCCCUCAUGACCGUCGGAUCCGACUCGAGCGGGUGAGAUCGGCUACCAAAAAGAACAGGAGUCUCGUUCCCCAACUCGCUCGCUCGUCGAAGCCCGUGCAGGCCGCCUGUGUCGCCAGCUCGCCGAACGCCGCCUCAUGGCGAUCUCCGCGACUCGGGCGGCGCUCGUUCCGUCUUGCCGCGGCGCCAGGUCUGCGUUGGGGCAGUUCCAUCGUUUCCACGCCGCGCACGCAUCGAACAUGCACGAGACGCUUCCGCCGGGCAUCGGGGAGUGGGAGGCGUGGUUGUCGCCGACAAGCCCGGUGAGGUCGCCAAUGAGGAGAACUCCCGAGACGGCGACACCCCAGGGGUGGACGGUAAAAGAAAUACCAUCCACCCUUGGGUUCCUCUGGACCGUCGGAUCGGACUCGACCGGGUGGGAUCGGCUAUCACAAAGAACAGGAGCCCCGUUCCCAACUCGUUCGCUCGUCGAAGCCCGCACAGGUCGCCUGUCGCCGCGCACCGCCUCAUGGCGAAUUAGCGAUCUCCGCAACUCGGGCGGCGCUCGUUCCGUCUUGCGGCGGCACCAGGUCCGCGUUGGGGCAGUUCCAUCGUUUCCACGCCGUGCACUCCUGGAACACGCACGAGGCGCUUCCGCGGGCAUCGGGCAGCGGGAGUCCGGGACGCAACUCUUGCGCGCCGCCGCGCCUGAGCAGCAGCGGUGGGUCCAGCGCGUCCGCACGGAUGCACGAUAUGAUCGCAGACACGAUCACGAGUAGGUGACCACUUUGCGCGGGAACACCGUCCAGGCGUCCGUGGCGAGCAGGUCCAUGACCAAGCGCUGCACCUCGCCGUCGGCGCCGAACCGCGCCAUCCCGACGGCGUCCACCUCGCAGACGAACACUACUGUUUGCGCCGUCUCCAUGGAGAUCCGGAGCACGUCGUGAACCAGUCUGGGGCCGGGCCUCGCGCUGAGGUGCUUGUUCUCGAGCUCCACGCCGUUGACGCGGAUGGAUACCGCCCAGGUGCCGUGGGCGGCUGACCUGGCCCAUGGCCGUCUUAUCGGGCCGGAGGAGCCAUAAAGAGGUACACGAGGCCAAGCCGGCGGCAGCGCGAGUGGAGGGACUGGGUGAUCCUGGGAUCCGGGCCGGCGGUGCUGAUCGCGGAGCGCGCCAUCUCCAACGACUGUCGACUACGUCGACUUCCUCCGGUUCCGUGCCGCGUGCAGGACGUGGCGCGAGUGCGCCGGCGCCACCCCGCUCCCACGCAGAGCCCUGGAAUGGCGGUUCCUCCCCCAGCGAUGGAUCAUGCUCCCGCGCCGCAGCACCUCCGACAACGACGACGCCCACGACAGCCGGCGGUGCUUCCGCGACGUCGCUACUGACCGGUGCUUUUCUCCGUCACUGCUACGUCUUCGACCGCACCACCAAGGGCCUCCUCGUCCUCAACCCGCUGACCGGACCUCACGACGGCGUGGUUGCCAUCGACGAUGGCGACGCGCCGGCGCCAGCCAACAGGCGGGCGGCGGAUCACCCAGGGGUGGAUGGUAAAUCAUAUACCGUCCGGGACUCCGGGGUAGACGGUAAAUGAAAUACCGUCCACCCCUAGAUUCCAUAUUAACCGUUGGAUCGAGCUUGGCCGGCGGAGAUCGACGAGCGUAAUCGCAAAAAGGGCCCCCUUCCCACUUUUCCUUUCUCGUCCAAGUCCGCGCGGCCUCGCGGGUCGCCACGCACCGGUCGGCCGUCGGCGGUCGCCGCACGUCGCCCCCAUGCCGGCCGCCUCAGAUCAAGCCGCGGCUAUCUCGCCGGUUCCUCCCGUGUCGUGCCGUGUCGACAUGUCCUCCAGCUUGAUGUCGCACGGCCGCACGCCUGGAACGCGAGCCGCUAGUUUCUGCCGCGCAUGCCGGCCCGGCAGCCGGGAACGCGUCGCACACUAUCGUGGGCCACUCGCACAUGAUGCCAUCAUUCAUCAACUCAUCAUGUGGCGCUCGGCCUCUCGGCGUCCCCGACGACGGAGCACGGCGGUGAGAUCUGCCAGCUGGGGCCCGAAUGGGAACGAGACCAAAAAUCUUCUUCCUGGUGUCACAGUCCUUUGCAUUUCUGUUGCUCCGCCAUUUUUUAACAUGCCUAGAUUUCUAACAAAAAUCUAAUCUGCAAGGGAUCCCUGUCAGCAAAUCGCAAAGGAAGGAUCAUCAAGGUCGGCGACCCGGUUUAUGUUUUGCAGUCAUUCCCUUCUCCUGAUGAAGCUCCAGCCUGAGUCCAUUACGGAGUACGUAACAAUUGCUUCCUGUUGUUGUCAUACUGUGUGUGCAAGGGACUACCAGCUAGAUGGAUAAUUAUUGCUAGCAAUAGCAACAACUACGUAUAUUUCAAUUCAAACAGAGUUUAAACAUUCAAAAAUUUCAAAAAUUGUGUUGUGCGUGUGGUUGUCCGUCCAAAGUUCAUACAUUCAGAAAUUUAGAAAACUGUGUUGUGUACUUGUGUGCAUGCAACGAACCCAGAUGCCAGAUCUUCAAACCUUUCAUGGCAUCCGAAGAAAAUUAUUGGACUCUGAAAUUAUCAAAAAUGAAAAGAGAGAACAGAAGUCACUGCCCUUGCUUUGCAAAUCGCCUGGUGCUCGCGGCGUGGAGGUCCAUGACUCCAUGGCCAUCGCCGCCGCGAUCACCUCCUCAACAUCCAUCUCUCUCCCGUCUUCAACAUUCUUCUUCAUAUCAUCAGUUGAUUAUCGGAGUAUCAUCGGGGCGGAGAUACGAGUGCUAUGGUAGGCGGAGAUACGACAUGCGCUCCAGUAUUUUACAUAAACAGAUCGCGAUUAAACCUCCUAACCUGGAUUGCCAUCAAUAAUCGCGAUCCAAAUAUUUACGUAAAAGACCCUAUUAUAUUUUCAAAAUAGUCCCUAUUUUCGUUUUGCCCCUGCUAUCCUCUCCCUCGUGGCUCCGGCGAGGUGGCGACGGCGAUGGCCGCCGCUACUAGCUUUCCCCUUCCGGCUUUCCUGCCGGAUCUCCGCUGUCGCGACCCCCGCUCUCGAGAAGCUGCCCGGCGGUGUUUUGGCAUGGCGAUGCUGCCCGGCGGUGUUUUGGCAUGGCGAUGCUGCCCGGCGGCCGGUGAGGGUAACCGGCGCGGCUCAUGUUCCAUGAGUACUGAGUGUGAGGCUUCAGGACUCAGACGAACUGCCGUCCCUCCUCGCCGCGGCAGCCUGCGCGCCGUGGGCCUCCUCGUCGUCCUCUUCUUCUUCACAUCAUAACUUUGAGGUAUCAGGAUAUUACUGUAGUUGUGAGUCCGAUGAGGCACAUAAGUAUACUUCAGAGUUCAGAAAUUUUUAUGCGCUUGUAUUUGCUAAAUGGCUUAUUUUAGGAAAUUCAGUGUCGCAACAUGCUUGUUGUGUCAUCAGAUAUUUUACUGAAUCAUUACUCUGUAUGAUGUCCUAAUUGUCUAUAUUUUCUUUUUCUUCUUUGCAUAGUAAAAUCAGCAACACGACUAUGUCCUACGGUGUGGCUUCAGUUUUUUCCCCCCUACAUGAUUAGAUCAUCUGUUGAGCUAUGUGAUAACUGAUGAUAGUUAGUUGAGUUAGUAUUGUUCUUAAGAGAUAAUCUUCAAUAAAAUUGUCAUAUAAUUCGUGCCAUCUAUAAUUUCCAGGAACAUAGAACCAGUAAAUUCAGUACUGCGAUGAGCACCAUUUUAUUCACUUUGUCCUGGAUGAUUCAGGUGCCUACAAUCAAUCAAGACACUGGAAUACCUAGCUCUACUGAACCAACUGGAACUCUGCAGAGAUAUCGGUCCGGUGAAGUGCUGCUUUCAAGCCAAAAAAUAAACGGCAGGUGAUUGUGGCUCGCAUCUUAUCCGCAGCAUUUGCUAGUCCAACGUGCUCAUGAAAUAGAUUCAUAAUGGCCUAAAUUGUUGAAAAUCCAUGCUUUCUUAUCGAUUUUGUAGGUGUACUUGGGACAAAAUGCAGUCUGCAAGGAAUCUCUGUCAGUAAAUGGUGAAGGAAGGAUCAUAAAGGUUGGCGAUCCAGUUUAUGCCAUGCGGUCAUUCCAUUCGUCUGAUGAAGUGCCAGCCUGAGUGACUGAACUAUGAUCAGGAGUGCCUAACAGCCACUUCUGUGUUGCAUGUGCAUAAUCCAACACGGAUCAUAGUGAUGUACAUGUGUGUGAUUCGUAAUCGAAGCCUGUCUGACAAAAGUUCAGACAUGUUGUUUGCCCAAAGAAAAUUCAGAUACUCUGCUGAAUCCUUUUAUGGAGUUAGCAAUUCACUAUGAGUCUAUGACUGUUCCAAUGGCGUCUUCCUAGCUAGCCAAUGUGAUAAGGAAGGUAGUAGUCAGUUCCUAGCUAAACCUCCCCCUCCUUUUGCUGUAAGGUCGCACUCAUCUUGAGAAGCUGAUAUCAGUGCUUCCCAUGAACCUUGAAAUAGUGAAAGAAGAGGAGAGAAAUCACUGUGCUGGUGAUUGGUUAGGUGGCCAGAUUUCAAGCCAGGGUUGGCUGAAACCAGGUCAGCUCGAUCAUGUCUUAACCAAUGCAACACUCUCGUUCGGUUGACUUGCAUUACCUAAGCCUGCAUACGGUUUCUCUUGUUUGGUUACCUUGCUUGACUUGAGUGUGUUUACCUUGCCCUUGUUGCGUUGAGUAGCUCCAUCACCCUCCCGUAUUGGGAGCUGCUGCACUGCUCAUUGCUCAAACUGAACUGGCAGAAGCCUUCAAUCUUCAGACAAUAUUCAGACAUACAUGAAAGGCAAUUGCUUUUGCAUCUGUAAACCAAUUGAGACACACUAGAAGCUUCACUGCACACCGAAAAUACCAAUCUAAAAAAGAAGAUCAAAAUAGAACUUCACUGCAGCCGGGUGUUUUGAUUGCAAUUGCAGUGUCACCGUCUUGUAUCCAGGCCGAGGUCAUGUAUCCGCCACUAUCACAGGCUCAGAUCGUGCUGGGAGAUCUUGAGAUUUCCCGUCGAUUCUCCACGAAUCAAUUUCCGUGUUCUUGCCAUUGAACUCGAUGGCACGGCCGCCUACGCGCACCGCAGCGCCGGCAACUUACGCUCAGCUCCGCCUCCUUACCAGCUGCUGGUGCCGCGUCGUGGACGACGCUGCGUCUUUUCCUCUCCACACCGCCAAGUCAUCAGUUAUGUGCGGCGGGUUUCGGGAUGGAGGAACGGGGGCGAGCUAGCCGGGAGGCACGGGAGCUGGCUGGUUCGGCCAUGGCGAGAUCGCGCCGCCGUGGCUGAUGCUCAGCGAGUCGGAGGCCGGAGCUCACAUUUUAGAGAAAAUCUUGUGUUAGUAAUACGACGCCCCCAGUAUUUGCAUUAAACCUUUGGAUCGCAAUUAAUAGUCGCGAUCCAAAUCGGGAGUAUAUGUAAAAUUUGAUCCGAACAUUUUUCACGACACCCCCGAAUUUGGAUCGCGAUUGAUAUUCGCGAUCCAAUUUAUGCGGGUAUUUGUAAAGCAUGAUCUAAACAUUUUUAUAAAACCCCCCUAACCGAGCUCUUUUGCGGCCAGACCCCUCCGCUCGUUCGCCCCUUCUCCGACGACGGUGACGGCCGCCUCGUCGCGCCGAGUGGCCUCCGGUUCUCCCCUACCCGAUUCCCCAUAGGAUAUCCCCCGCCGGGCCCCAUUUCUCGCGAGAUUCUCAGCGGCAGUCGGGCUUGUGCUCUUAUGGUGAUGCUGUUGCUGCCCGGCGAUGGGUGAGGGUCACCGGCACGGUGCUCGUUCCCAGUGCAUUGGCUCGAGUUCGCAAACCUUUGUCCCCGUCUUGCGCGGCGCGGACGGCGGACCUCCUCAUCCUCACCGGGCGUCACGUGUACUUGUAACAAGCAAACUUUUUUUUCCUAUAAUACGCCGGAGAGUUGCAUGUCUUUGUAUCAAGAAGAAUGAAAUAAAUUUUUUACAACGCUGGCCUAACCGGACGCACGCACACGGACAUAUUACAUGACUUGUUACAUGAUCGAAACGUACUCAACCAAAACCACAGCAACAAAAACAGCUAGAGCAGGUCAGCUAGCUUGUUGCAGCCCAACUGAAGACACCGAUGUGCCUUGCACCUGCAGCACUCCACAGUUUGGCCUCGUCGACGAUGUCACAAUAGAGCUGCGUGGGUGUCUUCUUCGCUGCUCUCUGAAAAACGCGGUCAUUUCGUUGCUUCCAGAUACGCCAAGAGACCAACAUGAAAACGGAGUCGAGUCCGCUUCUUCUGUCAGCACUGAUCGACUCCCUUUUGUGCAAUCACCAGUCUGAUAACGUUUGGUUUUGUGAAGGCACAACAUUCUGGAGGUUCAGGACUGAAGUUAGCUUGUGCCAAACUUCCUGAGCGAAGCAGCAUCUGGACAGGAGAUGUUCUGCUGUCUCAAUCUCUUGAUCACAAUUCACAAAGUAUGCAUUCCGCCCGAUCUUGCAGGCCAUGCCUUUGUCUCCGAGCUGCAAUCCAUAGUCUUUCCCUUAGCGCCAACCACAUGAAAAAUUUAACCUUCAGUGGCGCCCAGGCACGCCAGACAGACCUCAUUGCCGGGGCUUUCGUCGAUCCAAUGAAGAACGCCCUAUAUGCGGAUUUGGCCGAGUAUGUGCCCGUGCUUUCCCACCUCCAGGACACCCUGUCCUCGACUCCUGGCAGUAACUGAACCGUUGCCACAGCAUGCCAGAGGGAAACAUACUGCGAAAAUGGCGUGCACUGUAGCGCGUCCGACAAAAUCAGCUAUCCAGCGUUUUGCAGGGUGCGGGUGUUUCUGAUUCUCGGAGAGAUGAGCUGACAGAGGUCUGGUGCAAGGAUGCAGGGGGAGUUCUGACCAAGCCAGUUAUCAACCCAGAAUAGUGCUAGAUUGCCAUCGCCCAACUGAACUUGGAUAGAAACUUGUAGCAUUUGUUGCAGACUCCUGUCCCGGGCAAAGUCUGAAGGCAAAUAUCUCCAGGGCCUGUUGGCAUCGAUUUUCUUGAGCCACAGCCAUCUCAAACGCAGGGCAAAAGAGGCGAGACUGAGAUCUAGAAUUCCUAACACCCCCCCCCCCCCCCCAGCUCAACUGAAAACCGUGUGAGUUCAACUGAAAUAAUCUUUGCUUCGAAGAUGAUCCAUUUGGUCAGCAGCAGCCUGAAGGCUGAAGAUGAUCAAUUUUGUCAGCUACAGGUUACAGCAUGCAAUGCAACAUCAUCUGUAGUGACGCUCCGGCCAAGCUGGUAAGCUCAAUUGUUCGCUCAAACUUCAUUGUGAUUUUCAGUUUGGUUCAGAAAUUCAGUAGUAUAUGACAAUCGUCCAUAUAUGUUCUGGCUAUUGCUGUACAUAAAUCACGUAGCUAAGCUCCGCAUGAAACCUAAAAGGUAGAAAUGUGAUUGCUAUUUUACUGGCAAAUUUGCCUGGGAGCUGAACUUUCCCGAACUGUCCCGAACUGAAGAAUAUUUGCCAGAAACACAGAUAUGCUUAAGACUGAAGAGUUGUAGGCUAUAAGCCUAUAAGCAGCUGAAAAAUGACAAUACAUCUCCACAUGCGGCAUUCAAAUGCUGAGGGGGAACAUGUACGUAGCAAGACUUUUCUUGUGCGCACAAAAGAUGUCAUGGGCAAAGUUCAGAUGGCCCUGAACCCAAGCAGCGUGACCAUGCCGAUGCCCGGCGGCCGCACCACAAGGGCAGGGAUAGAGAGGGGGAAUAGGAACUCUUGAUCUAACUAAAAGAGAUACAGUCCCAUCCUUAUAUAGAUGGGCUGACUUGAAACCAAUCUCUAAAAUUAAGGAACCAAAUCAAUCUAAUCUUAUCUCUAAAUAACAAAUCUAAUCCUAGGCUGCUGUGAACAUAACCACGUGGUUACUGUUCGCGUGAACAGUAACUGCGGAUGAACGGUACACCAGCCCUUCAAUGGGUUGGGGCUUCUCCAUCUCAUGGGCCCUAAUAGGCUGCACAUGACAAAAGACGUCAGGAAUAUGCAAGCGUGUGGGCAGUGUAUCCAAGCAAACCUGAAACCUGUUAGAAAAUGUAUGUAUAUAGACAUGAAUGUCAGAGUUUAAUCCCUAAUUUUCAGCAUGUCAAAAGCCCUCCUUUUUUCUGUCAUGUCUUGCAGGUUACAUCCGUUGCUUACAUUUCCUUUUCCCAUCUUGAACAGCACAAUGAUGAGAGGGAAAGAGAACACCUAUUGGCAAGCAUGAGGCCUGUGUACCCAAAGAACAUUCAGGGAUCAGGAUGCCACUUUGACGGCUGGUGGCAGGAUUAUUGAUCGUGGCACAAAGCAAGUCUGUCUUCAGGACUCAAGUGCUGUCGAACUUGCCAUUGUCACUGCGCCACUUGGCUAAUCCUAUCUUUGAUGGUCUGUCAGAGAAGACGUACUCAAACGUUUUGAGUUCCAGCCUUCCAGGCAUAAUUUUCAGCUCGCCAAAAAUCUCUCUGCAAAUUCGGUUACCUACAUCGCCGUGGCAUUGUUUGCUCAGCAAAAUUCCGCCGCUGUGUGGCAUUCUGGCAUGGCCAGACGAACUGCCUGCAUCCAGAAAGACCUGAAAAUCUUUCAUGGAGUCCGGACAAAAUUUCAGACAUGCUGUUUGACCAAAGAAAAUUCAGAUACUCUGUUGAAUCCAUUCAGAAGAAUUAAACCUUUUAUGGAGUGUGCAAUGCACGAGAUCCAUGUACGUCAGUUUAAAAAGCAUGACAGUGACAGUUCAAUGGUGUCUCGCUAAUAUGUGAUCAGGAAGGUAGUAGCAAGUUGUAUUCUAAGAGCAUGUUUAUUUGAGCUGCAGUUUUUGAGUCUUUUUUGAAAUGCUGCUGCUGACUUUUUUUUUAAAAGCCAACACUAGCUUUUAGAAGAUGUGUAUAGCUUUCUGGGCUUAAAAAGCUACGAAAAGUUCGGAAAACUGAGCUUUUCAGCUUCCCAUAUAAACUCAGCUUUUCCGAGCUUAUGUUUUUUCGAAAGCUGCACGAGAAGUUUGCUGUUUGUUUGAGUUUCUAACUUUUCAUACUGCAAAGUUGUCAAAAAGCUCAAACAAACGGGCCUAACAAACCUGCCUCUCCUUUUGCUGUCAGGUUGCAAUCAUCUUGAGAAGCUGAUGUCAGUGCUUCCCGUGAACCUCGAAAUCUGUCUAGUGAAAGGAGAGAGAAAUCGCUGUGUUGCGCUGGAUAGCAUCUGAGCUUGCAGCGCGGAGGUUCAUCGUGGCCGGCGGCGCAGCGCCCUGCUCCUCCAACUCUUUCGUCUCCAGCCUUCUUGUUCGAGAACGCUGACCGGUUCGGCCAUGGCGAGACUAGUACGUGCAAGGACAAGAAAACGUGCCGCAGCCGGGCAAUGACCUCAUCAUCAUAUUCUCCUCUGCAGUCUUCUUCCAUUCACGGAUGCCAUUGCCAUGCCAUCAUCGCAUCGGCAACUAAAGCUAGCGAAUCCGUUUACCUAGGAUUAUUCGUUAUUAGCAGCUGCAGUCUGCAGAUCGAUGACUGCAGCGCCCAGCAAGUGCCACCCGGUGCUGCCCGCGGCGAGGGCGCCUGCGGUGCUGCUGCUGCGAGGACACGCUGGGCGUCCCGCUCCGCCGCGCGCCGGCCCACCAGCAGCUCGCCGUUCCUGACAAUAAUCCCCCGCCGCCCCGGCCUGGCCCAGCGCGGAUCGUGCUGGUGCAGCACGGCGACUCGGCGAGAGAGAGGGGAACGUGGACGAGUCCGCCUACACUCGCGUCCCAGACCCGCGCAUCGGCCUCACCGCCAAGUGCUAGCGCAACACCGAGGACUGCGGCCGCCGCAUCCGGAACCUCUUCUCCUCCUCCGAGUCCGGCGAGUCGGAGCUCACAUUUUACAGAAAUCUGGUACUGGUAAUGUAAGUACGUGACCCCAGUAUUUGCAUUAAACAUCCUAAUUUGGAUUGCGAUUAAUAGUCACGAUCCACUUAAGGGGGUGUUUGUAACACCCCCUAAACUUUAGUACCUGUCACAUCGAAUGUUUGGAUACUAAUUAGGAGUAUUAAAUAUAGUCUAAUUAUAAAACUAAUUACACAGAUGGAGUCUAAUUCGUGAGACGAAUCUAUUAAGUCUAAAUAGUUCAUGAUUUGACAAUGUUGUGCUACCGUAACCAGUUGCUAAUGAUGGAUUAAUUAGGCUUAAUAGAUUCGUCUCGCGAAUUAGUAUAGGGGUUCUGCAGUUAGUUUUUAAUUAGCUCAUGUUUAAUCCUCCUAAUUAGUGUUCGAACAUCCGAUGUGACCCUCUAAAGUUUAGUGUCUCGUAUCCAAACACCCCUAAGGGCGGUAUAAGUCAAAUAUGAUCCGAACAAUUUCAAAUAACCUCUUUGGAUCGCGAGUCGCGAUCAGGAGGGUAAAUGUAAAAUGUGAUCCGAACAUUUUUACAACCCGAUCCUGGGCUUUUGCAAAAAACAACUUUUGCGGCCGGAAUCCCUCCGCGCGUUCCUCCCCCUUCUUCUCCGGCGACGGCGACGGACGCCUCGUGGCCCCGAGCGCGAGCGGCCUCCGGUUCUCCCCUACCCAAUUCCCCAGCGGAUAUCCCCCGACGCGCCCCUCCUAGUCAAUUUUUCGUGCGAUUCCCAGCGGCAAUCUGGUGGUGAUGGGUGAGGAUCGCCGGCGCGGCGCUCCUUCCCGGUGCAUUGGUUCAAGUUCGCAGACUUUCUCCUCCAGAUCAUCCAGGUCGCCGCAUCCUUUUUCUCCGUCUUGCGCCGUUGCGAGGUGCAGACCUCGUCAUCCUCGCGCGGGCGUCACCUGUAUUCAUAGGGAACAAGCAACUCGUGUGAAUUCUACUGAAAUAAUCUUUGCUUCGAAGAUGACCAGUUUACUCAGCAACAGCUUGAAGAUGAUCCAUUUAGUCGUCAGCAGCUUCCAGCAUGCAAGAUCAUCUGUACUGACGCCCCCACCUAGAUGGUAAGCUCAAUUGUUUGCUUCAACCUCAUUGUGUUCUUCAGUUUGGUUCAGAAAUUCAGUAUUAUGAAGACCAUCAUAUUGUAUUCCGGAUAAUCCUGUAACCAAAUCAUCAGCUGGCUAAGUUCCACAAGAGAAACAUAAAAGGUAGAAAUGUGACUGCUAUUUUACUGGCUAAUUUGCAUGGGAGCUGAACUUUUGUGAAGCAGAAGAGCGGCAGGCUAUAAGCAACUGAAAAAUGUCAGAAUACGGCUCCACUCGUGAGAGCCAAACUCUGAGGGUGAACAUGUACAUAGCAAGACUUUUCUUGUGCGCACAAAAGAGAAGGCGAAUUUUGCAAGCAUGUGUGUACAGUGUAUCCAAGCAACCUGAAACCUUUUAGAAAAUGUAUAUACUCCGCAGAUAUAAUUAUCAGAAUCUCCUCCCUAUAGAAACAGCAGCUCACUUGUGUUUGCACUGCUGCUAUGCAAAAGAGGUCUGGCUGUUAGUGAGCAAUUGGACUUCCGGCAUCAUCAAAGUCCCAGAUAGGCAGGGGGAAGAGAUAGAAGAGUGGUGGAGGAGAAGCCUGGAGCGACUCUCACAAAAUCAGAAAAGAUCAACGGCAGCGCUCUUGAUGUAUACACUAUACAGCAUGAACCAUUUGGAAAGAAAGGAAUCGAAGAGUGUUCGAGGGGACGAGCCUUCAGCCUUCUCAGGUUUUCAGCUUGAUCAAAGAGGAAGUCUGAGUUUCUCAGGGCACCCCUUCUUUAGUUUAAAUGUCUCUAGAGUUUGAGUUUGAGUUUCUGUUUUAUUGUAAUCACAACAUUGUUGUAACCUGUUUCUUCUUCCUUCUUAAAUGAAUUGGCAGUGCUCCUGCCUUCUUUCAAAAAAAAAAAGAAUCUCCUCCCUAAUUUUCAGCAUGUCAAAAGCUCUCCUUUUUUUUUGUCAUGCCGUGGCCCAAAGCAAGCCUGUAAUACCACUGCGCCAUUGGGCUAUCCUAUCUUUGAUGGUCUGUCAGAGAGGAUGUACUCAAACGUUUUGAGUCCCAGGCCUAAUUUUCAGCUUGCUAGAAACCUCUCUGCAAAUUCCGGUUAACGAAACUCAUCAGUCCCAGAUUGAAACAGCCGCUCCUCGUCUUGUCGUCGAACUGCCAACGGCGUGGGGUGUACAGGUAGUACACGGGGUAGGUGGCCUCGGCGUUCCCGGGCAAGAGACACUCACGGCGUCCGACCUCGGCGAAAGGCGCGCAGUGCACUCGGACCUCUCUGGGCGACGACGACGAUGCGGCUGCAGAUGGACCUCAUCCUCGCCGCGUACACCUGGAACGAACACGAGCCGCUUCUGCCGCGGUCCGGCAGCUGGAACUCGAUCGACCACGCACACGCCGUGUCCUCGCGGCUCGUUGCCAUGACCCCGCGCACGCAACUUGCCCGGCGCGUCGCCGUCGAACCUCGGUCCAUCUCGGCAUCUCCACCAGCACGAGUGUUAAACCACAGGCUUGGAAGAACGGAGGUGUGUAGGCGUGUUAAACCACAGGCUUGGAGAACGGAGGGCGUGGGCGCCAGCUUGACCUGCUGCGGCAAGAAUAAAGGAGCACGACGCGGGCGGCGCGGCGCCUUGCCGACGCGCGCGCCAGUUCGGUGCACGGCAGCACAAUGUUGAUGCAUGACAAGGCGUGGCCUGCAGCCACGCUUGGUCCAGCGCGUCCGCACGGAUGAUUGCAGCCACGAUCACGAGUACGUCCGAUCAUAAUAUCCUGAUUCUUUGUGGAAGCUGAUUUUCUAAGAAAAGGAGCAGUAAUUCUUUAUCUGAAAAUGAUUCUCUAGUAUAAAUUUUUAGAAUAAGGAUGGAAAAUCACUUUACAGAAUCAGAAGAAGCUACUUUUUUUACUCCCAACCUCUUAAAAACCUCUUAGUUUAUUUAAGAGAAUCACUUCACAGAACCAGCAGAAAAUCAUUUUCUCUCUAAAACUAUUUGGCAAAACUCCUGCUAGAAUCGGCAGAGAAUCAACUCCGGAAGCUCUGCCAAACGCACCUAAGAGGCCAAGUUCUGAUUCAUUUGAUCCGUACAGCACAAUCAUGAUUCGACCAUCUACUACAGGCCAAGUCAUAGAAUGUAGGUACCUACGAACACAGUUUCACCGCCAAAAACGAAAAUACAGGCAGGUCGUUUCGAGGAAGCAGCGUAGCAUUGGCAUUUGGCAUCUCAGCUGUGGAAAAGAAACAAAACGCCAACACCCUGCUGUCAACAGUCAAUGUAGUGGCGACCACCUCUGCGUUAGCCCUCGGCCCAGAUUGGCGUAGAUGCGGCAGAACGGGAGGUCACGGAGAGGCUUCAGUUCCAUGAGAAAGAGAUGAUGGGGCCUAAGGAUUGCAUGACUGAUAAUCAUCGAGGAUUAUGACCUCCAUCGGUUCCAGAAGUCAUUCACACAAGUACACAACAGACAUGCAGACUGUAGAGCAACCUUUUCCUUCUGUUCCUAGCUGCAAAUCACAUUAUUUUGUAAAUUUCCUUGUUUGCCUGAAGCCCUGCCUGAACCUGAAGGAAUAAUAUGACAACAUAAAUUAGCAUGCCACCAAGAAACUUUGCAAUGCGAAAAACCAAGGUGUUCAUCACCUUGAUUGUACCGAAUCAGCACGGAAGCGGAACUGUUAGCUUGAUUAGUACCUUCUUAAUACUGAGCACUUGAAAAGUGGACUCCCAUCUGAAAAACAGCCUCCUCUGUGGAAGCGUAAAGCUGUACAUUUCAGGCAUGGUACAUUUGCAUGGUUAGCCCUUCAUUUUAGUCUAGAAAUCAACUGACUUUGCUUGAUUGUAGAGGUUUCUGAAGUAAUCCUCCUGUUCCCAAGUACUCUUCAGCAAAAAGUUCGUCGUUUUUUGCAAGCAUGUCUGUCAGACUACAGUCUAUGUUUCUACUCUGCAGUACCCAAAACCGUGGCUUUAUCCUCCCUUCAAGUGAAUAACUGAAGUACCUUGGAUAUUCUACAACUGCUUUAAGUGGCUUUUUCAUGAUUCUUAACAGAAACUCAAGCUUUGGUUUCAUAACAAGCUCGAUACUGUAACCUAGAAGUGGGGAAAAUCUAAAGAUCAUUGAGCGCACGUCUUUCUUAGACAAACCCGCCUCCAAUAGGUAGUUCAUUCUGUAAACGUUGAAAUUAAAGUUACAUGUAUCAAGCACUUACAAAAAAGAUCUUGUUAACAUACUUGACAAACGAAAAUCACAAGGUUAAACUUUAGAAAAAACAUACGGCAGUGGUUGAAUCAGAAAUAAGUACUAGGAGUUGUACAAGUGGAUUAUGCUACCGACCAAAAUGAAUAACUAGCAUCCAAGAUUGCAAAAAGUAUCACUAAAAGGCACAACCAUCCACGUAGGGAAACAACAUUAGCAAUAAUGAUACCAAAAGCUUGCAGCUUGCAGAAAACUCUAGACCAUGGCACAAUUAAGAGGUACACUAAGUUUGCAAUAUAAAAUGUCUAUCUGGGCUGCAUUUUCUAUCACACAAAGUUGCAGUCAUACCUGGGGAGCAGUGUAUCAUUUAUGUCCAACAAUAAAAUCUCAGGAUACUUCCUAAUGAUGCGAGGAAGAUGAUGUUUGGAAACACCAAAGUCAAUAAGAAAGUCAAUUUUCUUCUUGAGGGUACUUUCCACAUUUGAAGCAAAUAUUUCAGGAGAACGACACAAAAUCUUUCCUACUGUUUCCUUAUCAAAACCCAUUUCCCUGAAAAAGAAAACAAUCUGAAACACAAGGCAGAACAGUUAGUACUAAGAUAACAAUUAUCAGAAGAUGGGGGCAUCAAAGAUGUAUAAGAGCAACCACUCAAGAGUCAAGACUCAAGACACAAAACCAUCCCCAACUUUGGAUACAAAUGUGCCUACUGUGGAUACAGUUACAAACAUUGGAUGUUGAGUUAUUGUCCACCGCUUUCAUGACCCAUAAAUCUUCAUCCUAUCCAUUGUGGCUAAUUGGAAAAAUAUGUGAAUUUGUAAAACCUGAUGUACCAUCAUUACAGCCAUCAUCCAUGUCAACUUAAAGGACAUGUGAUGGUGGUCAAACAAAGUAUUCAUUUUACUGAAGCUUUGGUUCCAGUUUGCUAAGAAAAUUAUAAGCAAGCAAAAGAAAGUUUUUCCUUUACCAAACGGAGUAUAAAUAUGUAAACGAAAUUAUAUUAAUGAUUACACACCUGCAGAAACUCGUUAGGUUUUCUCAGCAACAAUUGCGGACUUGAUGUAAUGACUGGAGCCACCAUUUUCUUAGUGAUGCCCAGAUCAUCAAACUGCUCCAGAAUUAAAUUCAUUCUUUGUGUAGAGCAGCCAAGAAUAUGAGGCCAACUUUUCACAGCAAUACCAAGGACUGUACUGGAAAUCUGAAAGCAAAACAAUUGACUUACUACUCCUGGCAACAAGAAACAGAAGGCAGAACAGGGUAAAUAAAUGAAAAAGAAAUUAAAACAUAAAUAGUGAGAAAAUUCUUUUUUUCAGUUACCUUUUUUCGCUUUAAGAACAAAAGGAUCCGUUUGUAGUUCUCUAUCACACUUGUUGAAAGGAUCCAUGGAUACUUCAGCAACAUCCUACCAAUAUGUUCUUGUUCAAUGCCAGCCUAGUAAAUUUAGAAAUGGAUAAUAGUAUUAUUGUAUUAUAUUCAAGUGAGCACCAAUCUAGCAGAUACCAAUGGACACCACGAACAUAAAUACCUUCUCCCAUUCAUGAAUCCUCGGCUUGAUAUCAUUUUCAAUGUCAGAAAGAAUGAUAGGAGGAAAUGACAGCAAAACUGAUGCAAUCCUUGGGUUUGGAAUUCCAAUGUACUCAAGAAAAUCAAUUAAUGGCUUUAGAUGAUUAUCCUCAGAGCAGAGAAGCAGCAUGGGAAACGACUCAAUGAGGUAAGGAAAUGACACAUCUCCAUGUCCCAACAUGCUAACACCACCAUACCUGGCCUCCAUCUGCAAUAAUAGGGUUCAAGAAAACAUUAAUUUCUGCUGAUACUCAGUGCAAUGAAACUGAACAAUAAGCAAUAGUCAGGACUAUGAAACUUACUUUUUCAAAAAAUGAUAAAGUACUUUGGAGUGCAUCGUCUGCAGGUAUUGAUAAGUGUGUCAUCAUGCGCUUAGAAUUCCUUCCAAUAAUUGUUGCAUAAUCACUGCUUGAAAAUAACAUUUCCUUCAAAAACUUAACCUAUAUGUGAAUAAACCAUAAGAAAUGAGUGCAGUGAUCUAGUGAACAUAUUAUAGUGCCAAGGACAACUGCAACUAUUGAAGUAACAUAUUGACCAAUGAUCACUAUGAUCCAAUCUAUUUGUUACCCUUGGGAUAUAAUGUAUAAUGUCACCAUGGACUAGUGUUACUGAAAACUUGGUGCCUGAAUUCUAAAUUUCUAAUGUUAAGGAUUCCAUUAAAAUGUCUUCCUGCCAUGCUAUGGAAAAUGGAAGUACUAUUGAGAUUCGUGGUGUGAAUGAGAAUAGGAGCAAGACUCACAUAACGUCUUUAAAAAAAAAAAGAAGAAGACUCAUAUACUUGAACACAUGCUUUGUGCAGGACUACAAGCUUGCAACUGAGAACAAUACCAACUUUUUUGCAGGUAAAAUAUCAGUUUGAGUGCUCCAUGUUUAAGUUUAAUACUAGCUCGAUUGAACUUUGUUCAAGUUCAGCCAAACACACCCGAUAAGAGGUCAUGGAUUAGGUUGGACUCGUAGAAAAAAAUAUGAAGUAACCCUGCAGUUAGCAGUUUCUACAGGUUUCACCAAAUUUCACUGCCAAUUGCAACAUGUACGAAGUAUUCUUUCAACACGGACCAAACUCGCGGAAAUGCAAGCAAAUUGAGCCCAAAUUGGAGUUAACUCUCACCCGAUCAAUCAGCACAGGGAGGCCAGCGGCCGCGACGUACGGCGCGAUGAGCUUGGCGGAAGAGAGCCGCACCCCGAAGCUCUCUAGGAGCGGCACCACGCCGUGGUCGUGCUUGCUCCGCCCCAUGAGGUACACCUUCCUCCGGAACCCGAGCCUCCCCAUCUCCAUCUCGACGGCCCCGCUGCGGCCCACCCUGGCCCCGGCGCCGGAGCUCCACGACGCCCAGAGGCCGAGCUCGUCCAGCUCCCGGACUCCGUCGGCGAGCAUGGUGGCGUAGGCCGGCGCGCGCGCGGCGAUGGCGGUGGCGUCGGCCGGGGAGGCGCCGCUCUCGCGUAGGAGCUCCGCGACGGCUGCCUCCGCCUCGCGGGCGUCGUAGGCGGGCGAUGCGGAGGCGGACGUGGACGAGGAUGUUGUCGCGGGGAAGGCGGCGAUGGGCCCGCAGCGGCGGCGGCGCGGGAGGAGGAAGAGGAGUGGGAGAGGGUGAGGAUGCGUUUUGGGGUGGAAUUGGGUGGGAAGCGGGAGAGCGCGCAGUGGUGGGGUUGCAGGUUUGGAGAGGAGAAGAUGGAGAAGCGGGAGAGUGGCGGUGGCGGUGGCCAUGGCCACGGCGGAGGCCGGAGGGGGACGAGUGGGAGGGAAGAAGGGGUGAAGUGUGAAUCCCCCGCGCGCUUGUAACGUUCCCGCGUGCAUUAUCCAUGGAUGAGAAAAACUUCGGGAAGAAAUCAAUUUUCUGCCACAAAAUUUCACAGUUAUUUCCGAUUACUGGGUUUUCCUCAUCAAAAUUUGCCUACUUUCACCGAAUUUAGUUAGUUUUGGUUUGGUUCUAAUACUUUCAAAGAGUCCUAUUUUGAGACUUUCUAGUUUGUUUUCUUCCCAUUCCUGUGAAACAGUUAUUGAUUUUAUUUUUUUAGUUUUGCUAAUUGGGUUCUGCGGAAUAAAUUGGUAACCAGAACUCCAGAAGAAUGCUCCUAGGUCCUGUUUGGAAUGACGUACUCCUCGGGUUCUUUAUGGAUUAUUAAACCGAUGUUGUGUCAAAUGACAAGAUUCUAUAGGAGCGUAUCAAUAAAAAAUUCAUGAUGGAACUGAAUAAGAAGAAUUAAGGAAUUAUUUUUGUAAAAGUGUGCUAUUCGUAUGCCGAAACAGAUCCGAAAAUGCUACGAGCCCUUUUUUUUUACCCUUGACUUUUAGUUUGUCUAUCUUUGAUCUCCAACUCUAACAUUAUACUCCAACUUCCAUUAUAGCUAGCGUAGUUUUGACCCUUGAGCCCAUCCAAAGCAAUUCAAGGUUGACGUGGCAGCGACUUUUUAAUCUGGGUGGGAGAAAAUAUUUGAAUGAGGAAGGAAAGUUACUCGAUCACUUCCAAAAAACUUUGAAAUAGACAUUGGACAAAAAUAAUUGCAGCUCAUGAAACAAGUUCUAUAAUCUAUAACAUUCAAAUGAAAGACUCAAUAAAUCUUAGAAAAUGUAUUUGAGUAUUUAUUGAAUCUUUUAUUUGAAUAGCAUAGAGCUUGUUUCACAAACUCUACUUAUUGUUGUGGGGUUCCUUAUGUCCAAAUUAUCUUUAGGAUUCUUUUCUGAAUUUUUGAGAGGUGUUUGUUUUCCUCAUCUAAACAUUUUGUCUUCAUCAAAGUUAAAAAAAUUGCAAUCACGUCUAAUCUGCUUUGUCUGGCCUUAGGGGCAAAUGAGACUAUUCAAAGUAGAUCGUAUCAAACUAGAUUGUAUUUUGAGUAUAAAAACUAGAUAAACUAAACAGUUGAGGGUCAAAUAUGAACUUAGUUUUAUUUGAUUUUUUGACAGUUCAUGCGCUAAAAGGAGUAUCACGGUGGAGUGUCUUUUGUCCCUACUGACUGCACACUCCACACUAUUUAUCCUUUUUUUUUGUCCAAACACCAAAGAUACACUACAUAUAUGCAUGCUCGCGUUAUGAACAUACGCACACAUACACAAUCUACCCCUAUGUUUGUUAUCGAUGGGCAUUCGCCGACUAUUUAAAUAAAAAAAAAUAUGAGCACAUGAUGAGUUGAUGACUCGAAUCUGUGCUGCACAAGUUCCACCACAAUAAAUCCAAUCAACUGAGCUAAGUUUAAUUCACUCAGAUCAUUUAUGCCUCCCACAGUCCCACUAUCUUUUUUUACCACCAUGUGCAUUUGCAAAAUGACCAAAACCAGUUUUAUAACAAUCCAUAAGCUAGAUGCCAUAACUUAAGAAUUUCUAGUUGAUCCAAACAUAUAGACAAACACAUAUAGCGCAUGCGUAAUGCAUGCAUUUUCCUAUAGAAGAGCUAGUGAUCUAAAGUCCAAAUCACCACGAUCUAAUCUGAGGGGCUGUUUGGCUAUCGGGUGUUAAAAUUUAACACCCGUCACAUCGGAUGUUUGGAUGCUAAUUAGGAGUAUUAAAUAUAGACUAAUUACAAAAUUAAUUGCAUAGAUGGAGUGUAAUUUGCGAGACGAAUCUAUUAAGCCUAAUUAAUCCAUGAUUUGACAAUGUGGUGCUACAGUAACCAUUUGCUAAUGAUGGAUUAAUUAGGCUUAAUAGAUUCGUCUCGCGAAUUAGCACAGGGUUCUGCAAUUAGUUUAUAAUUAGCUCAUGUUUAGUUCUCCUAAUUAGCAUCCGAACAUCCGAUGUGACACUGUUAAAGUUUAGCACCUCGUAUCCAAACACCCCC
rnacentral:lncRNA from 1 species